rnacentral:lncRNA from 1 species
GUUUUUACAAUGAGGAAUGAGCUGAGCUUUUAUAGAGCUCUUACACAACGGUUAUGAAGUCUAAAACAAGAAUAAAAUCGCAAAAUUAAAUGACAAAGUAGCCGUUGGAGAUUUAAUGAGAAAAUCGUCCAAGUAAGAAAAUAGCCGUUGGUCUUCAGCCUGGAAAGCUUGGGCGUGUAUAGGUGGCUCCUUGGGACGUUUAGGUUCACUGCAUUAAGUUGGAGAAGGCGCAUAAGUGAUUGGGGAAAGAUCUGUUUUGCAUUGAUGCCUCUCGUGUCCGAAUAAGGCAAACUCGGCUCCGGAUAUGGAAAGUGAAGGUGUGGAAGGAUCCGCCUGAUCCUGUGUGUCUUGGUGCACCUUAGAGUGUUGUAGGAGGCUUCUAGAAGUAGAAAAACGUCUCCUGGGCGCCAAUGAUACGUUUGGAGUCUCCUAACCCCGCAAGAGUCCAAAUAAGGCAAGCUGAGAAUCAUCUGGUUUAGAAAAUUAAUAUCUUCAUGUAUGUCCAAAUCGGGCAUGCUGGGAAAUUGAAUAACUCGUUCGUGUGAACUCCUUUUGGGCUGAUUCUUCUUCGAGGUGCUCGGUAUUUGAGCUGAGAAUGUAUUCCAAGUAUUCUCUGGGACGGAGGACAUGAUCUUGGACUUCGUCUGGACUGAACAAGGCUCAGGGGUCUUCUCGGGUAGGCUGAAUCUGGUUUGGCCCGAAGUUGUAGAUAAAACUUUGUUAAAAAUCCCACUUGGCUGCUCCUGGGUUGUUGUUUCUCGCCCAUAAUCUUCUCCAUGGUUGGUUCUUGGGUUGAUGACCGCAUCAUGUCACGAUCUCGUGAGUUACUAACUUUGAAACCCUUCUUAUAUAUUAAAGGAGAAGUCAAAAGUGCUCAUGUUCGCUCUCACCCCCCCCCCCCUUUAAUGAGAUUAAAUUAGUUAAAUUGCCAAAUUAUUUAUAAUAAAAAAAACCCGAGGUUUAAAAAUUUUAAUAUCUCGGAUUUGUUUGGUCGUCGUAUAGAAACCCUAAUCUGACUAUUGGGCUUAUUUUCUGUCUAAAAAAUGGCCCGGUAUAAUUUACACCGUCAUAUGUGAACCCCUAAAACUUUAUGUUAGAAAUCCCUAUAAAUAUAGGAGGUCUCCCUAGAAACUCAAACAUCACGGUUUGAUUUUUAUGCAUAGCCAUUAUGGUUUAUAGUGUUUUUUGUACCUCAAAAUUGGUCCUUUCUAUGAUGCGUCAUCAUCGAUAUUUUGUUCUCCUUUUUAUGUUAUGGUCACUUGGAAAGUAAGAUCUCAUAGAUCUUUGCCAAUUGUUGAUGAGUUUUUUAAACGAGGUUUAUAGUUUGAUCUAUUACAGCUUUUGGUUUUCGUAGUUGUUUGGUUUAAUAUGCGAGAGUAUUCUCAUGUUUUGAUUAGCACCUUUUUCUUUGAUUAGGUACAAAACAAUCUCAGGUGUGUCUCUAAUCUUGUUUGAUCUAUGCGUAUAAAAAACAAAAAAAAUCUUAUAUUGAUUUCUUUUUCUGUUUUGUGACUAUAUAGAUACGAUCAUUGAUAGUAGAAUUUUUUUUUAGUUUCUCAAUUCCUAUAGCACUAUCAUGUCAUUGUAGUACUUAUGGUUAUCAACCCAUUUUAAGUGUGAUGCAAACAGAUGAGAUGUGAUCAGGAGUCACUAAGUCAAGCCAAGCAGAAAUGAGUUUGGUUUUUUAACAGUUCUAAAUGAUCAUGUAGAAAACAGUAAAAUUGCAGAAAUGGACUGCUAUACUCGAUCACACCGUCUCACUGCCAAAAGGGAGGGUGUGAUCGAGUAAACCAGUGGUCACAGAGAAACAUUGUUAAAACUUAAGCAACAAGUAACAAAGUAAACGAAUAAUCAAGUAAAUGAACAGAUUAAUCAAAUAGACGAGAAAUUCCUAAGGAUAAGGUAAUCGAAUGGAGUGGUAUCCGUAGCCUAUUCAGAUGGUUAACAAAACGCAAUCAAGUUAUCCCUAGACAACAGGUUCAACAACAGAUCAAUUCACUACUAUGAUAGAAAUCCUCAAGCAAAGCUAGCCUAGACUAAUUCCCAGUAACGGAAUCUAACUAUGCAGGCAAUACGAUUCAACCUAUUAAAGUCGAUAAAUGCUCUAGACGGCCAAUCCCUUGGGAUAGAGAAGAAAAUCUCUAGAACUAGUAAAUCAAGCAUUCUAUCAAACACCUUCUGGGUGCGGGAAUGGUUUAGAUCAGAUUCUAGUUGAUCAGACAGAAAUAAGCAGUAAACACAACUAGUCCAGAAGGGAUUCAAUCAAUUCUAGCACUUAACCAUCUAAAAGACUAUAUAUCCCACAACCCUUCUAUUCCAUCCUUAAGAACUCUAGGCCACUACUCAAAGACAUGAACACGAAUAGCAAAGAAAAUUGCAUAACUAAAAAAAUCAAGAGAAGAGAAACAGAGUGAUAGAAGAAAUCAAAUGCCGAAUCUGAAUAACUUGGAAGUAACUCGAACUACAAAGUUGCAGAAACAAAGCGGCGAAAGACUUAGGUAAGAUAGAGUAAAAACUAGGUAAAAACUGAGAUAUCUCGGGACAAACCCUUGAUAUGUCUAUAUUUUACUAGUUUUUACCAUGCAUUUACAUCUCAUUUAGUCUAGUUUCAUGUCUUUAAAACUGAGUUUGCAUCAUUUAGCUUCACUUUCAGCAUUUAGGAUCAUUCUACAUCUCUGUUGCAUACAUUCUUGCAUUUUGGAGUUGUAUCAGGUGUUUUUAGGUACUAAAGGGCUGUGGAGGAGUAUGUACUCGAGUACCCACUCGAGUACCUACUCGAGUUCACCUGAUAGCAUCACCAGAGCAGACUGUAUGAAGAAUGGAACAACCUACUCGAGUACCCACUCGAGUACCUACUCGAGCAGAACCAGAGCAACCUACUCGACGAGUGCUAGAGAAGAGUACUCGAGCAGCUUCAUGGAGACUAGACCAACCUAUUCGACUAACCUACUCGAACAGGACCUGAGAGACUUAACCGAGCAAGAUGCAACCUUUGAAGAAUAGACUACUCGACCAAGCCACUCGAGUACCAACUCGAGUAGACCUUAAACCAACUUUUUAUUUUGUCGUUUUGUGUACUAGGGUUUUCUACUUUUGCUAUAAAUAGACCUCUUAGGGCUUUGCCCAAAGGAUCUCGUUUUUAGCCUCUGAACAAUAUUUUCUACAAACUUUUGUAAUCCAAAUUACUUUUGAUCCUUUGAGUUUUUGCAAUUAUUUUCUUCUUCAAAGUUGUUUAUCUUGCCUUGAUCUAUAACAUAUGAAGUUUUUAUUGAUUUCUGGGUUCGUGCAAAUUUCUGGGUUUGUGUUCUUGAGCAUGUCUGAGUAGUGGAUUAGGGUUCUUGAGGAUGGGAUAGAUUAAGUGUGGAAUCCUUAGUUUAUUUAGGUGGUUAAGUGUAGAAUUGCUUGAAUCCCUUCUGGUUUAGUAGUGCCUAAUGCUAUUUCCUCUCUGAUAAAUUGGAAGUUGAUCUCGGACAUUUCCACACCCACAAGGUUUUUGAUGAAAUGUCUGAACAAACUACUCCAGAGAUUUACAUACUCUAGCCCAAGAUAUUGGAUGAUUAGAAUGUUCAUUGACUAUAUUAGAUUGAAUCUUAAUGCCUGCUAGGUUAUAUUUCAUCAAUAAGAAUUGAGUUUGAAAGUGACUUAGCUUGAGGAUCUCUGUCACGAGAGUGGAAUGAUUUGUAUUUGAAUCUAUUGUCUAGGGAUAGCCUGUUUGGAUUGUUAAUCACCUAAGUAGACUAAAGAGACUGCUAUAAUCGAUUACCCUAUCCUCAGGACUGUGGAUAUAGGAUUCACACUCGAUUAUCUUUAAGUAUUUUUGUGGAGAAAAACUCUUGUUAAAUCAGGAAAUAAAUAUGAGAAUUUGAAAAGGAAAACAACCAAGAAAAGGAGUAAAGAAAUUUGACGAAAGAUGAAGUGCAAAAUGCCUUGCGAAAAUAGUAAAGACCGAAAAAUGUAUUGUAUUGUUUAGAAGUAAUCAGUAAUGAGAUUCGUCCUCCCUAAACACAUGCGUUUGAGGUUGUUUUUAUAGAGAAAACAUGAUCAAUGCGAUCAUUUACUGCUCAUAAUCACGUUGAUCUGCAUUAAUCACGUAAGUUACACUUUGACCGAAACGGCUUGAAUUUGAACUAUCUUGGGCUUCGCGUGGAUCUUCCGAACUCUUUCUUGUUGACUCCGAACUCCCGCGUCUUGACGCUGCCGCGAGCCUCGAACAAUAUUCUCCUCGCUUCGGCCUUUCUCUAUGCGAAAUGUAUGUUGAAUAAGAGCGAACUCUGUACUGGUAAAGAUCGAUUCUCAUAACAAAAUAUCUUUAAUUCCAAGAGGAUUAUUAUGUAAUAAUGACGUGGACAGAUCCAAGUGGAUCCUACCAAAAAUGUGCGGGAUCCGACCCCAACAAGGACCUUUUUUUUUUUUUUUUUGCUUAUCUCUUUACCUGUUGCUUACUUGCUUAUUGCUGUUUAGUAUUGAUAGUUAUUUCUCUUUAUGCAUGAUCACUCAUGUUCUGUAGUUUUAUCGUUUAUGCAUGAUCGCUUAGGAUUGCUAAAUAACAAAACAAUAUCCUGCCUGGCUUGACUUAGUUGUUUCUGAGCAUAUCUUGAUUGUUAGUAAGAGCACCUGAUUGGAUUGAUAACCUCUUAUACUGCAAUGACAUGAAAGUAUAUUAGGGUAAUUGAUAGUAAUAACCUUAGUAUCAAUUUGGCGCCGUUGCUUUUUGGGUAUCUGCUUGUUACAUUCAAGAUUUUUGAAUUGCUAAGAUCAAGUUCUUUCUUUUACUUUGGUUACUAACUUCUCUCUUCAACAGCUUGUUUUUGUGUUCCAGGCACUAGCUCGAGUCCAUACUCCAGACGUGCAUGCAAACUCUAUGCGAACUGUAUGUUGAAUAAGAGCGAACUCUGUACUGGUAAAGAUCGAUUCUCAUAACAAAAUAUCUUUAAUUCCAAGAGGAUUAUUAUGUAAUAAUGACGUGGACAGAUCUAAGUGGAUCCUACCAAAAAUGUGCGGGAUCCGACCCCAACAAGGACCUUUUUUUUUUUUUUUUUUUGCUUAUCUCUUUACCUGUUGCUUACUUGCUUAUUACUGUUUAGUAUUGAUAGUUAUUUCUCUUUAUGCAUGAUCACUCAUGUUCUGUAGUUUUAUCGUUUAUGCAUGAUCGCUUAGGAUUGCUAGAUAACAAAACAAUAUCCUGCCUGGCUUGACUUAGUUGUUUCUGAGCAUAUCUUGAUUGUUAGUAAGAGCACCUGAUUGGAUUGAUAACCUCUUAUACUGCAAUGACAUGAAAGUAUAUUAGGGUAAUUGAUAGUAAAAACCUUAGUAUCAAUUUGGCGCCGUUGCUUUUUGGGUAUCUGCUUGUUACAUUCAAGAUUUUUGAAUUGCUAAGAUCAAGUUCUUUCUUUUACUUUGGUUACUAACUUCUCUCUUCAACUGCUUGUUUCACUACAAGAAAACAUGAGAUUAGCGACUUAAUUCGGCGACUAAUUUUGCAGUCGCUACAUCUAGUGACCGUUUAGCUACGUUUUGGCGACUAAAUAUGAACCAAAAUACGAUAGUCGCUAAUUAGUAUCUAAUAUGAGACUGAUUUAUAUUGUCGUUAUAUAGUCGCUAAAUAUGGCGAAGGAUUAGUUACCGAAUAUUUAGUCGCCAACUGGAGCGACUCAGUGGCUACGAAUUAGCGACUGCGUAAUUCUAGUUGGACAUUCAAAUUGGGCCCAAAAGCCCAACAACCCAGUAACGUUAGCCCAUGAGCCCAAGUAUGAACGUUUUCUACGUUCUCCCUUCGUAGAAAACCCUAAUCCCGUUUUGCUCGCACCCAAAUCAAACCCUAGAUUCUCUCGAUCUAGCGACGAACCCUGAUUCUCGACCGAAUUGUCUCUCGAAUCUCUCUCGAUGGCUCCGAAGAGAGGAAGAGGAAGAGGAGGAAGAGGAAGGGCUCCGAAGGUUUCCCCAAAUCGACCUGUCGCCAAUCGACCCACUGCUUCUGGGACGUCAAAUCGAAGACCCAGUACUCUUCCUAGCCAGUAUACCUUCACUCCGGCGAAUCCUGAAGCCCCAGAGACUCAGCAAAGUCCGGUAAAUCCUGUAGCCCUAGAGUCUCAGCCUCCGACUCAUAGAGACUAUCCUCCUCCGACGCAGCUGUUCCAGUCCGGCGAUGAUUCUCCUCGAGGCUCUGGGUCGCAUCCAUUUCGGGAAUCUGGAUCUACUCAAGUUCGAGGGUCUGGAUCUGUUCAAGGACGAGGCUCUGUAGGAUCUAUUCAUCGUCUAGCUUCUCGGUCGAAUCAACCUCCUGCGCCGGUUCAACCUCCUGCGCCGGUUCAACCUCCAGCGUCGACUCAGCCUGCAGCGUCAAAUCGACAAAUACCAUCUCGUCAACAAAGACCUUCUCCUCAACCUCGAGCCUCUGUAUCGCAUCAUAGUUCUCAGGCUCAAAACUCACACGAGGAAUCUGAAGAUGAGGAAGCUGAAGGUGAAUCUGAAGAAGAUGUGUUGAGGGAUUCAACACUCCCAGAAGAUGUCCUCGCAGAUUUACAUGCUACACUUCUCAUCCCAGGCCGUGAGAAGUUCACCACCGUCAUCUCUCCCAACCUCGAGCCUGAAACCACUUGGUAAACAUUUUUAAUUUUGAUUGUAUAUAGGUCUGAUUGUAUAUAGAUUAGGUAAAUAGGUUAGCUUGGUAAACAUUUUCAAUACUUAAGUAGAGUCUUCUUAUUGGUCUGCAUGUUUUGGUCUUAUAGUCUGUUAGGUUUGCUUGUAUAUAGGUCUGCUUGUAUAGUUUGAGUUAGAGUCUGUUAGUAUAUAGUAUUAGCUUUAUUGGUCUGCUUGUAUAACUUAAGUAGAGUCUGGUUGUAUAAUUUGAGUUUGAGUAUGUUUGUAUUUGAUUAGGUCUACUUGUUUAUAGAUUAUGGAUGGUAUCAAAGCUAACUGGUUUAUUUGAUUGUAGGUUUGGUAAGGACAAUGGAAAGCUAACCCGGAAGAUCACUAAAUGUUUCACAAACAAGUUUGAUGGGCCAUAUUACAAUUGGAGCUGUGUUCCUACUGGUAGAAGAGAAAGAUACUUCCUCGAAUUCGCGGUAAAAUUCUGUCUCCUCUUAUACUUAUGUAAUUACACUUUUGUUUUGUUUUUUGAUCACUUACACCAAACUCUACUCUUGUUUUGUAGAAACUACACACCUGGCAUCCUUCAGUGACAGGUGUUGUUGAAGCUAAAUUCUACAAGAUUUGUCAGGUGCGGAUGAAAGACAUGGUUAGCAAGGCAUGUUCAAAACGAGAGAGGCCAAAUUGGAUCGAGACAAAACUUUGGAUAGAGAUGUGUGCCUAUUGGGACACUAAAGAAGCAUUAGCAAAGAGUUCAACCACAUCAGCAGCUAGGAUGUCUGACCGUAAUGGUCUUGGUCCUCACAAGCAUGUUGCUGGUCCAAAGUCGUUUUUACAAAUAGAGCAAGAGAUGGUACAUUCUGACCUAUUUACUUUGUUUUAGUUUUAGAUUACUUAGACCUAUAUAUUUACUUUGUUCAGGAAGUUGAAUUGGGAAGACCUCCUACUAUUGGUGAAGUUUUCAUCAGGACUCAUACCAAGAAGGAUGGGACUUUUGUGGAUAGGAAGGCGCAGGAAGUCCAUGAAACAUAUCUCAAGAACAAGGCAGCUAAGUUGGCUGCCCUUCAAGAGAAUGAUGAACAAGCAGAUGGGACUUCGCGACGAUCUGAGCUAUCUCAAGAGGAGGAUGAUGAGAUCUUCCUUCAGGUAAAUAGUCUGUUAUUUAUGGUUGCUUUUGUUAUGCAGUCUAACUGUGUAAUACUCUUUCUUUUGGUAUGCAGUCUACUAUCACAAACGACAGAGGAGAAUACUUUGGUGUUGGCAGCCUCGGGGUUUACAUCAACGGGAAGCGCAAGUACCCAGGAAGCAGUUCUUCUUUCACAACACUCCAAUCACAGCUUGAGGAUGCUAACCGGAAGAUUGAGGAACAAGCAGCGCUCCAAGCAGAACGUGAAGCAGAGGCUUUGCGGGUCGCAGCUGAGCAAGCAGCUGAGAUCAAGCAUUUGGCGAUGGUGAAGAAGUAUUUGAGCGAGACUGACCCAAAGUUUAUGGCCUUCCUCAAGUCUCAAUCUGCUGCCACUGAUACUACUACUGCUGCCACGACUGCUGCCACUGCUGCUGCCACUGCUGCUGCCACGACUGCUGCCACUGCUGCUGCCACGACUGCUGCUACUACUGCUACUAUUCCUACUGCUCAACAACCAUAGGUCCCUCCUUCUCUAAACUUUCCCUCCUUCUCUGAACUUGAAAACAUUUGUGUUGCUUUGAAAACUUGUGUAAGUUGUUUGGUUACUUGAACUUGGUUCUUAUGUUUAUGUAUGUUUAUGUUGUGGUUUAUUUUAUAAUGUUCUUAUGUUUUAAAUAGAAGUCUUUUUGCUUAUAAAUUGGUAAUAACAAUCAAAUUAGCAACAAUUUAUUCUUCCAAAAUUAGCAUUCUAAGUCGAUAAUAAUCAGUCGCAAAGUAGUAUCAAUUCAGUUACCAAAACAUUUAGAAAAUAGUCGCCAUGUAGUGACAUAACAGUCGCUAGAUUCGUCACAAAACAGUCGCCAAAAGAGUCGCAAACUUAGCGACUGUGUGACGACUGAAUAGCGACUGCAAAUAAUGGUCGCCUAUUAGUCGCCAAAUAGCGACUGUUAUGCGACAUAUUAAUUUAGCGACGAUUUUGUUACUAUUAGUGUAGUCGCUAAAUCCAUGUUUUCUUGUAGUGUUUUUGUGUUCCAGGCACUAGCUCGAGUCCAUACUCCAGACGUGCAUGCAAACUCAUUCUAAAGGCUCAGACAAUCUCAUCAGCUACAAAGACAACAUCAAUCGGUUAGCUCGUGAGUUGAGAGAGCGUAGAGACAGAGACGGAUGUGAACAGCACAAUCCAGUUGCUAUGGAACCACAAGACCAAGACAAUUAGGGAGUUGGGAUACCAAGGAAUAUUGGUGCUGGUGAUGCACCAAGAAACCAUCAACAGCGACAGGGAAUCAUUCCACCUCCUGUCCAGAAUAACAAUUUCAAGAUCAAGAGUGGAUUGAUCUCAAUGAUACAAGGAAACAAGUUUCAUGGGUUGCCUAUGGAGGAUCCCUUAGACCACUUGGAUAACUUUGACAAGCUCUGCAGCCUCACCAAGAUCAAUGGUGUUAGGGAGGACGGUUUCAAGCUGCGCCUAUUUCCCUUCUCGCUGGGAGACAAAGCACACCAAUGGGAGAAGACACUACCUCCUGACUCCAUAGCAUCUUGGGACGAUUGUAAGAAGGCCUUCUUAGUAAAGUUCUUCUCAAAUUCAAGAACUGCAAGGCUAAGAAAUGAAAUCUCCAGUUUCACCUAGAAACAGUCUGAAUCCUUUUGUGAGGCCUGUGAGAGAUUCAAAGGCUACACUACACAGUGUCCACAUCACGGUUUCAGUAAAGCUUCUUCGCUUAGUACACUCUACAGAGGAGCUCUGCCCAAUAUCAGAAUGUUGCUUGACACUGGAUCUAAUGGGAAUUUCUCGAAUAAGGAUGUAGAAGAAGGUUGGGAAUUGGCUGAGAACUUAGCUCAGUCCGACGGUAAUUAUAAUGAAGACUUUGAUCGCUCCAACAGAGCUAUUGGUGAUUCGGAUGCCAAGCAUAGUAAGGAGAUCAAGGCUCUCAACGAUAAGCUGGAUAAGCUUCUGCUGACUCAACAGAAACAAGUCCACUACAUCAAUGAAGAAGAGCACUAUCAACUUCAAGAAGGGGAGACUACUCAAGCAGAGGAAGUCAGCUACAUACAGAACCAAGGUGGUUACAACAAGGGCUACAACCCCUACAAGUCUGCACAUCCGAAUCUAUCCUACCGGAGUAUGAAUGUUGCCAACCCACAAGAUUAGGUUUACCCCAACCAGCAACAGAAUCAAUCCAAGCCUUUCGUUCAAUACAAUCCAGGAUUCGUCCCAAAGCAGCAGUUCAGUGGAGGUUAUCAACAAUAGAAUCCACCUCCUGUUUUUGCACAGCAACCACAGCAAGCUCCACCUGCACAAGAUCAAGACAUGAAACAGAUGCUUCAGCAGAUUUUGCAAGGUCAAGCAACUGGUGCUAAGGUUCUUGAUAAGAAAAUGGCUGAGAUUCACAACAAAGUAGACUGCUCCUACAAUGAUCUCAAUAUCAAGUUUGAGACUCUAAACUCCAAGAUGAAGUACAUGGAGAGCCAAGCUGCUUCUACUUUUGCACCUAAGAAUCCCGGAUAACUACCCGGGAAAGCUAUUCAGAACCCGAAGGAAUAUGCUAAUGCAAUUUAACUACGCAGUGGUCGAGAGCUGCAAGCUCGACCUACCCUAGCACCUGUCACUGAGGACAGUGAGAUUCAAGAAGGGGAGGAUUUCAUUCAGAAUGAGACUCAAGUCGAAGACACAACUAAGCUUGACCAAGAUACUGUCCCUAGUGAUCAAGCUAAAGAUCCUUAGAUCGAGAAACCUGUUGUUGAUAAGAGUAAAAGGAAAGCUUUCGUUCCACCACCCUACAAGCCCAAAAUACCAUUUCCUGGAAAAUUCAAGAAGGAUAUCAUUGAGAAGUACAGAGCAAUGUUUGCUAGACACAUCAAGGAGAUAGAAGUAAAGAUGCCUCUCAUUGACGCUUUCAUGCUGAUACCGGAUUCUCACAAGUAUUUGAAAGACAUGAUAAUGGAGAGAAUUCAGGAAGUACAAGGAAUGGUUGUGUUGAGUUAUGAGUGCAGUGCUAUCAUACAAAAGAAGAUCAUACCGAAGAAGCUAGGAGAUCCCGGUUCAUUUACUCUACCUUGUUCACUGUGUUGGGGUCGGAUCCCACACAUUUUCGGUAGGAUCCACUUGGAUCUGUCCACGUCAUUAUUACAUAAUAAUCCCCUUGGAAUUAAAGAUAUUUUAUUAUGAGAAUCGAGCUUAACCAGUCGGGAGUUCGAUUCAGUUUAUAAAAAGAGUUCGAUCUUUACCAGUACGGAGUUCGCUCUUAUUUCAACAUACAGUUCGCAUAGAGAAAGGCCGAAGCGAGGAGAAUAUUGUUCGAGGCUCGCGGUAGCGUCAAGACGCAGGAGUUCGGAGGCAACAAGAAAGAGUUCGGAAGAUCCACGCGAAGCCCAAAGAUAGUUCAAAUUCAAGCCUUUUCGGUCAAAAUGUAACUUACAUGAUUAAUGCGGAUCAAUGCAAUUAUGAGCAGUAAAUGACCGCAUUGAUCAUGUUUUCUCUAUAAAAACAACCUCAAACGCAUCUGUUUGGGGGGAAUCUGAUUAUUCAUUACUUCUAAGCAAUACAAUACAUUUUUCUCUCUUUACUAUUUUUCGCAAGGCAUUUUGUAAUUCAUCUUUCGACAAAUUUCUUUACUCCUUUUCUUGGUUGUUGUCCAUUUCAAAUUCUGGUAUUUACUUCCUGAUUUAACAAGAGUUUUUCUCCACAAAAAUACUUAAAGAAAAUCGAGUGUGAAUCCUACAUCCACAUUUUGGCGCCGUCUGUGGGGAGUUACCGCAAAACUCUUUAAUCUCAAAAUCCUUCUUUCCCAACCAAGUAACUAUGGCUGAUCAGCAAGCAUUGAGCGAUCUGACCAAUCAAAUGGGUACACUUGUUACUACCAACACCGCUUUUGGUGAAAGGUUAAACUCAAUCGAGCAAACCUUAACAAGUGUUCGAACCACCCAGACAAAUUUGUCAAACGCGCAGAACGCUGUUUCGAGCCGUCUAGAUAAUUUGUCCUCAGUGCGAACAACUACGCUUCAGUGCAGGUUAUUCGCGACUCCUGGGAUUACUCAAACCCCUCCAGGAGGCCAACCUGCUAAUACUAGCAACCAUGCAGCCGUAGGGGAUGCGACUAACCCAACCGGGGAACAAAUUCCCCAGGCUCAGGGAAACCUUCCUAUUGAAGACGGAUUCCUUAUGGAAGACCUUGAUGUCACCCAAUCAGACGAUUUCAUUAAAGUUCGUCAAGAGCUUAAGGAAAUGAAGUCGAAAUUUCAUCAGGCGACCAGUUCGGCGCCUGAGAUCGAUCGAGUAAUCGAAGAAACUCGUCGAACACCCUUUACCUCGAAAAUCUCGAACCUUCGAAUCAAAGAUUCUCGAAAAGUUAAGUUACCAACUUAUGACGGUAAAGGAGAUCUUAAAAAUCACCUCGCUGCUUUUCAGAUCGUCGCAGGAAGAAUUGAUCUAGAACCAGGCGAGAAAGAUGCCGGAUUUUGUAAACUAUUUUCCGAAAAUCUUUCCGGACCGGCUCUGUUAUGGUUCACCCAGUUAGAAAAUCUUUCCAGACCGGCUCCCUUGCAUAGUGUCCUUUUACCUGACAUUUAAAACAAGUAAUAUCACGAGCUCUUUGAUUAUUAGGCUUACCUUGUUCAGGUCUGACUCCUUUUGAUGUUUCCGGCAUAGUCUUUUUGAAUUUUGGAUCCACAUCGUUAGGUUUUCCUUUUUCUAGAGCUUUUUGAGGCUGUGGGGUCCAAGGGGCCUUGCUGCGGUUGCUUGAAGCAGUCUUUCUCUUGAUGUAUUGCUCAGCCUGAACUGCUAUGUGUAGCAACUCAUCCAUAUCAUGAUAGGUCUGUCUUUCUACCUUCCUAGCAAUCCGAUCAUGAAGUCCAUCCAGAAACUGUGCCAUCAGGUUCUCAUCAGAUUCUUCUACUUCCAAUAUGUUCUUAAGUGAUUCAAACUCCUCAUAGUAUUCUUCCACAGAUUUGGUUCCUUGAGUGAGCUUUCUGAACUUCUUCUGCAGCUCACGGUGGUAGUAGACUGGGACAUAUCUCUUCCUUAGCUGAAACCUCAUGUCUUCCCAAGUAGUGAUUGGUACAUGUAUGUGCCUCCUCCUUUCGGAUACAUCUCUAUCCCACCAAGUUAAGGCAUUAUCAGUGAGUUGAGCAGCAGCUAGGGCUAUCUUCCUUUGAUCUGAAUAGUUGUAGUAGCCAAAGAUAUACUCCAUACGUCUCUCCCAAUCAAGGUAUGCAUCAGGAUUAACCUUUCCAGCAAAAGUUGGAGCCUUGAGUUUGAGAUCAUGGCCUCCUUCUCUCCGGUUGCCUUCAUCUCUUCCUCUUCCUCUAUGGUACUGUCUCCUUGGUCUCAGGUUGUGGUUAAGAUCACGUUGUUCUUCUUCAGAAUCAAACAGAUCUUCAACAUCAUACUCUUGGUUGUCUCUUGGUGCAGCAGCAACAUGUGCUCUAGGUGCAGGUGGGGGCUGUUCAAUCCGAUUUAUGCGAUCAACAAGAUUCUGGAGUUGAGUUUGGAUGUUUGCAAGUAACUGAGCCACGUUCACAUCUCCUCCUUGUCCCUCCAUGAUUGAAAGCGUUUUCUGUCUCAAAGAACAAAUAGAUCAAGUGCGCGGGAAGUUGAACGGUCUAAAUCUCAAAACAGACAGAUCUAGGAUAUGAACGGUUUUAAACAAUCAAAUGAUCAGAUCUAAGCGUGGUUUUUAUGGGGUUUCCUUUUUAGAACGUGAACAAUCACAAUAGAGCAGAAACGAACAGAUCUAACAAAGGAAAGAAGUCGAAACGAACUGGAACAAAAACGAAAAGACAAAACCUUAUUUGGAGCGUUUUAGCUCUGAUACCAGAUGAUACAGGCACGAUCCUGCAGAUUGAUUGACUCGACCAACUAGCUCGACCGACUAGCUCGACCUGACGCAGAGUGGAGUCUACUAGAGCUAAAACAAAAGGUGGAAGAUGGUGAAACUGUUGCUGGAGUAAAGUCUCUCUCAACAGAUCCAAGUGAGUGGAGGAUGGAAUAGAAGCGGAAUGGUAGAGAAUCAGUUGCUGGACUGAAGUCACUCUCAACAGAUUCAAUAGAGAUGGAGAUGAGUAGAUGGGUGGAGUGAGUGACGCCACACAGAUCUGUGAAAGGAUCUAUGAUGAGUCUGGACUCAAUCUUCAAGGAUUCUCACACAAGAAGAAGGAGAACGUGGUUGCUUCUAUCUCAGAAGUUGACCUAAGAAAACUCUCAAUUUAUUUCAUAAAACUUGUUAAAGAUACAUAGCUGAGAAGGGACUUUAUAUAAUAGUCCAGCAGCUGGGGACCUUCUAGGGUCGAAAUUAUUACAUAAUAAUAGGACUAAACUUGCAAAUAAAAAGGACUAAACUUGCAAAACAACAGACUCGAAAUUAGGACCUGAGACAAAUAAAAGACUCAAUAAAAACCCAACGGUCUUAUUCCUACAAAACAAGAGAAGAACGAUUUAUUAUUUGAAUUCAAACACUUACCUCGGAAAUAUUGCCCAUGCACGCUCUAGCCCUUCAUUGAAUGAUUUUGGAAAUGAUGAAAAGAGCGGGUUCCUUUAUUCCUUGUAAAAUCGGUAGAAAUGAAGCUGUUUGAGUCUUGAGUUGCACACAAGCUUUAUCUUUGAUGAUCUCGGUUUCUUGGGAUGUUCCAUGCUCAAAAUAGUUGUUGUCUUGUUCAUUCUCCAAGUCUUGAGCUUUUGAAACGUUUGGAUUGAUAUGAGGCUCAAUAGGCGUCUCUCGGAUAAUAUCCUUAGUGAAUGACCUUCCUUCGAGUUCCUCUUGCUCUAUGAGUGUAAUCAAGCUUUCAAUGGACUUGUUGAAUUGUUCCCUUAAGCGUUUGGUUCCUGAUCUUGUCCUUGGUGCUUGAACCAUGGUUGUGUUGUUGUUGGCUUCUUCCUCUGAGUUAGUUAGGAUAGUCUCGAUGUCCUCAUCAAUUAUCUUCUGUUCUUUAUCUUCUUUUUUUCUAUUUUAUUUCAUCUAUUUAUUUUCAUCAAAAAAAAUAUCAAAAAGAAGAUAAUCCGUAUUUGAGGAUAAAUCCUUUUUUUAAGAGGGAGAGUAUGAUAUGAUAAUAGGAAGCAGCAGGACAUGUGUUCAUUGCUUCAAUCGUAUCUUCUCAAUGACGAGAAAUAAAUUCACGAAACCACUUGGAAAAUGUGCUCUGCUCAAUUACGGAACCCCUCGAAGAAGAAUCAAAGCAAAAGAAGAUCAAACGAAGGAGUUAUUCAAUUUACAAAUCAUAUAUUCUCCAGUUUACCAGAUUCGAACCUGCGCGCAUUCAAUUAAGAUUUUCGACGAGACCAGAAUGAACUAAGCUACAAAAUGAGUUGUUCUAUAAUCUUGGUCCAUGAGAGAAGCCCAUCAAAGUGGAUUCAGCCCAAAAACAAUCAAGGAAGAUCAAUUUUCGUCCAUGGCGAAGACUGCAUUUAAUUUUUUCGAUUUUUCUCUCUUACAUGCACUUUAGAGUUUGAAUUUCAUCUCCCUAGAUGCUCUGCCUGUUAAGCUAUUAUUAUGGAUGUUUUGGAUGUAUUCCAUAUAUAUAAUGAGGCUCAUGUCAUGAAUAAAGAAUAAGCCUUUGUGAUAUUUUUGGAAUCUUUGAGAGUGACUUUUCAUUUUUCGUCAAUGGUGUGUAAUAUCCACUGGUUUGGUUAAUGGUGUGUCCAUUGAUCAAUACAUGACCCAUCUUGGUGCGUCAUAUCCAGGGGACCUUGUCGAGAGUGAUUCUUUCAGCCUUUAAUUCGUCUUAGUGUGUCAUAUCUAAGGAAUUCAAGUUCGGUAAAUCAAAAGUCUUCCGCAGCUCUUGUGUAACCAUUCGCUCCACCAUCCUUCUUGUGGCUUCACCGUCCUUUGAACCUAAGGAAUAUCUUUCACCGUCUUAGAGUGCCGACUCCUUGGGAGAUUCUCAUCACUUAUUGCUUCUCAAAUCUUUGUGGGUGUGGCCCAAGUCCUACGAGUUUAUGGUUUUCGAGCUUCUAAACGGAAAAAUACUACUUUAGCUUUUGGGAUCCGGUUGCGGUUCUAGUUCUUAUACCCAAUCAUAAACACGAGAUCUAGUCAUAUUUGACUCCAAAAACACUAACCAAGCUUCUUAUUGCUUCUCAAAUCUUUGUGGGUAUGGCCAAAGUCCUAUGAGUUUUUAGUUUUGGAGCUUCUAAACGGAAAAACACUACCUUAGCUUUUGGGAUCCGGUUGCUGUUCUAGUUCUUAAACCCAAUCAUAAACACAAGAUCUAGUCCUAUUUGACUCCAAAAGCACUAACCAAGCUUCUUAUUGCCUCUCAAAGCUUUUUGGGUUUGGCCGAAGUCCUAUGAGUUUUUUGUUUUGGAGAUUCUAAACAGAGAAACAAUAGUUUAGUUUACGGGAUCCGGUUGCGGUUCUAGUUCUUAAACCCAAUCAUAAACAUGAGAUCUAGUCAUAUUUGACUCCAAAAACACUAACCAAGCUUCUUAUUCUUCUCAAAUCUUUGUGGGUGUGGCCAAAGUCAUAUGAGUUUUCGGUUUUGGAACUUCUAAACGAAAAAACACUACUUUAGAUUUUGGGAUCCAGUUGCGGUUCUAGUUCUUAUAGCCAAUCAUAAACAAGAGAUCUAUUCAUAUUUGACUAUAAAAACACUAACCAACCUUAUUAUUGAUAUGAUAAUAGGAAGCAGCAGAACAUGUGUUCAUUGUUUCAAUCGUAUCUUCUCAAUGACGAGGAAUAAAUUCACGAAACCACUUGGAAAAUGUGCUCAGCUCAAUUACGGAAAUCUUCGAAGAAGAAUCAAAGCAAAAGAAGAUCAAACGAAGGAGUUAUUCAAUUUACAAUUCAGGUGUUCUCCAGUUUGCCAGGUUCGGACAUGCGCGCAUUCAAUGAAGAUUUCCGACUAGACCAGAAUGAACUAAGCUACAAAAUUAGUUGUUCUAUAAUCUUGGUCCAUGAGAGAAGCCCAUAAAAGUAGAUUCAACCUAAAAACAAUCAAGGAAGAUCAAUUUUCGUCCAUGGUAAAGACUACAUUUAAUUUUGUCGAUUUCUCUCUCUUACAUGCACUUUAGAGUUUGAAUUUCAUCUCCCUAGAUGCUCUGCAUGUUAAGCUAUUAUUAUGGACGUUUUGGAUGUAUUCCAUUUAUAUAAUGAGGCUCAUGUCAUGAAUAAAGAAUAAGCCUUUGUGAUAUUCUUGGAAUCUUUUAGAGUAAGUUUUCAUUUUUCGUCAAUGGUGUGUAAUAAGCAUUGGUUUGGUUAAUGGCGUGUCCAUUGAUCAAUACAUGAUCCGUCUUGGUGCUUCAUAUCAAGGGGGUCUUGUGGAGAUUGAUUCUCAUUUUCAGCCUUGAAUUCGUCUUAGUGUGUCGUAUAUAAGGAAUUCAAGUUCGGUAAAUCAAGAGUUUUCCAUAGCUCUUGUGUGACCAUUCGCUCCACCAUCCUUGUUCUUGUGGCUUCACCGUCCGUUGAACCUAAGGAAUAUCUUUCACCCUCUUAGAGUGCCAACUCCUUGGGAGAUUCUCAUCAUUUGGUAUCAUAGCACCACUCUAAGCUCGGUGUAUCAUUCUAUCAUUCCAUCAUCUUCCCGUCUUUCAUUUUCUUUCAUAUUGUCUUCUCAUCUUUCAUUUUCUUUCACAUUAUCUUCUGUUCUUUAUCUUCUUUUCUUCUAUUUUAUUUCAUCUAUUUAUUUUCAUUAAAAAAAAAAGAAAUCAAAAAGAAGAUAAUCUGGAGUUGAGGACAAAUCCUUUUUUCAUGAGGGAGAGUAUGAUAUGAUAAUAGGAAGCAGCAGGACAUGUGUUAAUUGUUUCAAUCGUAUCUUCUCAAUGACAAGGAAUAAAUUCACGAAACCACUUGGACAAUGUGAUCAGCUCAAUUACGGAACCCCUAGAUGAAAAAUCAAAGCAAAAGAAGAUCAAACGAAGGAGUUAUUCAAUUUACAAUUCAUAUAUUCUCCACUUUACCAGAUUCGGACCUGCGCGAAUUCAAUUAAGAUUUUUGACCAGACCAGAAUGAACUAAGCUACAAAAUAAGUUGUUCUAUAAUCUUGGUCCAUGUGAGAAGCCCAUCAUAAUGGAUUCAGCCCAAAAAAAAUCAAGGAAGAUCAAUUUUCGUCCAUGGCAAAGACUGCUUUUAAUUUUGUCGAUUUCUCUCUCUUACAUGCAGUUUAGAGUUUGAAUUUCAUCUCCCUAGACGCUCUGCAUGUUAAGCUAUUAUUAUGGAAGUUUUGGAUGUAUUAUAUCUAUAUAAUGAGGCUCAUGUCAUGAAUAAAGAAUUAGCCUUUGUGAUAUUUUUAGAAUAUUUGAGAGUGAGUUUCAUUUUUCGUCAAUGGUGGGUAAUAUCCAUUGGUUUGAUUAAUGGUGUGUCCAUUGAUCAAUACAUGACCCGUCUUCGUGCGACAUAUCCAGGGGUCUUGUCGAGAGUGAUUCUCAUUUUCAGCCUUGAAUUCGUCUUAGUGUGUCAUAUCUAAGGAAUUCAUGUUCGGCAAAUCAAGAGUCUUCCGCAGCUCUUGUGUGACCAUUCGCUCCACCAUCCUUGUUCUUGUGGCUUCACCGUCCAUUGAACCUAAUAAUAUCUUUUACCGUCUUAGAGUGCCGACUCCUUGGGAGAUUCUCAUCACUUAUUGCUUCUCAAAUAUUUGUGGGUGUGGCCCAACUCCUAUGAGUUAUCGGUUUUGGAGCUUCUAAACGCAAAAAUAUUACUUUAGCUUUUGGGAUCCGGUUGCGGUUCUAGGUCUUAUACCCAAUCAUAAACACGAGAUCUAGUCAUAUUUGACUCCAAAAACACUAACCAAACUUUUUAUUGCUUAUCAAAUCUUUGUGGGUGUGGCCGAAGUCCUAUGAGUUUUCUGUUUUGGAGCUUCGAAAUGCAAAAACACUACUUUAACUUUUGGGAUCCGGUUAUGGUUCUAGUUCUUAAACCCAAUCAUAAACACCAGAUCUAGUCAUACUUGACUCCAAAAACACUAACCAAGGUUCUUAUUUCUUGUCUAAUCUUUGUGGGUGUGGCCGAAGUCUGAUGUGUCGAUAAUUUGCAUGUUUUCUGCAUUCAUUCAUCAUUGUUUUGAGUCUAGUUUCAUAACAUUCAUCACUGUUUUAUAUCAUUCUUCAUCAUUCUUGCAUACUUUGCAUGAUUAGGAUAGGUUUGCAUACAUUUUGCAUUUCUGAGUUGUUUUCAAGUGAUUUGGAGCUGUUGGCGAUCAAAUCGGAAGAAACGAGCCGGAGUCAGCAGAGUAUACUCGACCACAAGGUCGAGUGCCUUCUGCAGCACUUACUCGACCAUGUGGUCGAGUGAAAGCAGCCACCAUCUUCUUGGCUCACUCAACCAUACUAAUAAUAGGAUUUUAAGAUCAAUUAAUCCUAAAGCAGUAUCCUGUCGUUGUAGUAUUUUAGGUGUCAAUCCAAUCAGGUGUGAUGCAAACAAAUGAGAUAUGAUCAGAAAGCACUAAGUCAAGCCAAGCAUGAAUUGGUUGUUUUCCUAACAGUCCUAGUGAUUGGUACAGAAAGUUGUAAAAAGAUACAAAAAUGACUAAUAUACUCUAUCACAAGGCUCACUGCCAGAAGGAGGAUGUGAUAGAGUAAAAGGGUCCAAAAACAGACAAUUAUCAAAACUCAAUAGCAAGUAACAGAGAAGGUGAAUGCAGCAGGUAAGUAAACAGAUAAAUCAAUUGGAUAAGAAACUCCUAAGGAUGGGGUAAUCGAAUAGUGUGGACUCCAUAAUUAAUUUCGAUGGUUAACAAUUCUCAAUGAAGCUAUCCCUAGACAACAGGUUCAACAACAGAUUUAUUCACUCCUGUGCAACAAAUCCUCAAGCAAAGCUAGCCCAGACUAAUUCCCAUUAACGGAAUCUAACUAUGCAGGCAAUAAGAACCGACUGUUAAAGUCAAUAACCGCUCUAAACGUCCAAUCCCUUGGGAUAGAGACGAUUAUCACUGGAAUUAGUAGAUCAAGCAUUCCAUCGAACACCUUCUGGGUGCGGGAAUGCUUGGGAUCGAAUUCCAGUUGAUCAGAAAGGAAUAAUCAGUAAACACAACUAAUCCAGAAGGGAUUCAAUAUAACUACACUUAACCAUCAGAUUCGACCAUGGGUCUCACAACUACUCUAUCCCAUCCUCAGAAAUCCUAGUCACUACACAACAUGCUCAAAGACACAGAAACGUUUGAUGAUUGCAUAACUUCUAAGAUUAAAGGAAAUAAAACAGAAAUGAACAAGGAAACGAAAGCGAAAUCUCAAUAACUUAGAAGAAAAGAAAAUACAGAAUUUCAGAAGCAAAAGCGGCUACUGAACGAAACUAGGUUGCGAGUCUAAAACGUAAUUGAAAAAAGAAUGUCUCAGGGAAAACCCUUAGAGACUUAUUUAUAGUAAAAACGACAAAGAUAAGUAAGUGGGCUUCGAGUCCGCUUAACAGGCCCAUGGAACGUUGUGGUCGAGUAGAUGGGCUCAAAGUGGGCUUCAUGGUCGAGCCUGAAUCGAAGCCGCGAUCAAGUGGUUCCUUCUCUCCUCUUCUCUUUCCUAUGCUCAGGUUGUCUGGUUGAGUGCGGAUUGAUCAGAGGGUCGAGGUGGUGAUCGAGUAGAAUGGGUGGUGGCGUGGUCUGGACUGCUUCUUCUCUCUUGUGAUCGAGUAUAUGGGUAGACUGUCAGGACGGACUGCUUCUUCAACCUUGCGAUCGAGUAUAACAGUGAACUGGCAGGAUGGACUGCUCCUCUUCCUCUGCGAUCGAGUAGAACAGUCUGGCUGGACUGCCCUGUGAUCGAGUAUAAGGGUCCUGGUGGUCUGUUGAGCUGACUGCUUCCCUCUCUGCUACUGGUGAUCGAGUAUAAGGGUCCAAAUGUGACUUUCAGCUCUGUUUUCCUCUUUCUGAACACCAAUAGCUCCGAAACACCUGAAACAACUCCAGAAUGCAAAAUGCAUGCAAGACUAAUGCUAGACACACUUAAACAUGCAAAUUAUGCGAAAUGAUGAUGAAUGCUAUGAAAGAUGAACGAAACUAGACUCAAAAUGGUGAUAAAUGGAUGUAUAAAACAUGCAAAUUAUAGACAUAUCAACUCCCCCAAACUUAGUCUUUUCUUGCUCUCAAGCAAACAAGUAAGCAUAAGAUGAAGGAGAGGUUUGAAGGUGGGGAUUCAGAACCAAAGCAUCAGGUAAAAUAGAUAAAAUCAAGGUCUAAGUUGGUAGUUCUAGGAUGCGAUAUGAUCGAUCUCUACUCAAAAACGUUAGCCAUGCCUUGUUAUAGUUCAAUUCGACUCUUAUACUCGACCUACACAUGCUUUUAAAUCGACCAAUCCCUUUAACAUUCAUUAGUUUCAGAACGUGAAUCAAACAAUGCACCAUCAAUGAACUCAUUUGGCUUAAGGUGAAGGUCAGGAGACAAAGAUAGUCCUUUUAAGGUGGUUCAAGUUUAGUAAUAGGGGACUCUCAAAAGAAAUGGACUGAGCUUUAGGAGAAUGCUAAAGGUAAGACCCAACCUAUGCAUACAAGAAUAGUAUCUCAUCUACCCAAUAACAUAAACCGUGUUUACACCAGCAGAUGGUACUACCCCCAAGCCCAGAUGAUGAUCCUAGUUCUACCCUUUGCACUCAAGGCAUUUUUUUAUCUUUGAUCAAAUCACUAUUUCUUUUUCUCUGACUUUGUUUUAAGGAGAAGUUUUCUUUUACUCGAUGGAUCUAGUGGGUUUGGUUUUUCUUUCACAACUAUGGCUCUUGUUAUCUUCUUAUGAUAAAGACUUUUCUAAAUUUUUGCUCUCUUUUGUUACAAAGCCUAUCUAUUCGACUUUUAGUUCCUCAAAACCCAUUACUAGAGUAACUUGUUUCUCAACUUCCUUCUCCUAAAAACAUCAAUCUUUUCCUUCUUUUACUCAUAUACUCGAUCCCCACCCAAAAAUAGACUCCCACCUAGUCCUAUCUAGUCCAGAAAAUAUGGACUAGAACUACAUGAGACACUACUCUUGUCAGUUCAAACCUAACACUUUCUACCAAGCUCAAUCCUGAAACAGGCCUCACAGUCACACAGGAGAUAUUACAGGGCUUUUAAAAGAGAGGUUUGGUUAAGGUCUAGGGAAACUGCUCCUAUGAUGGAAGCAUCUACUUGGGUUAGCAAGGAUGGUGAAAAGUUGAAAGAAAACCCAAGUAUGUAUAUGGUAUCCAUGAGUUCAAAUUUGAUGCUAAGACAUGAUAAUUGUAAAUCAGAUUCAGGUUCAAAUUGAUAGGGAAUGGUAUCAAAUCAUGACAGUGUGAUCGAGUAGAGCAUUGAAGACAUGGUGCAGUUUUACUUCAAUUUCAUUGACUACGCAUCAGACAACUAGCAACGAGGGCACUGAGUCUAUCUACUGAACCAACAUGCUUACAAGGCUAUUUCAUAAUCCUAUAUGAAACAUACUAGACUCGAUCCUAAAUGUGAUGCAACUAGAUGAACACUCUGUUUUUGUGGAAUACAUUUUCAGAAAUUUUUCAAAUUUUUUGGUUUUUUUUUCUAUGCUUUAGAUGAAUGUAGACUCAAGUGUGAAAUGCAAAAUUUGAAAACAAGACUCAAAGAAAACAUGCUAAAUACGUCUUGAAUCCUCCCCCAAACUUAAACUACACAGUCCCUUGUGUAGUAAAAAUAUGAAGGAGAUUUCAAGAGAGACACUAUAAAAACAAAAGCAGAAAAUGGUAUUUACAAUGAUGGUUGGGUGUGGUACCUCAGUUGAAGGUCCUGGAGAUGUAGUCAUCCAUCUCCUCUCUGGUGUAUUCCCAUGGAAUGUUGGGACCUUGUUGUUGCUCUUCCUCCUCUGGUGCAGGGUACUCGAUCACAGGGUCGGCUUGGCGGUCAGUGCGGCGAUUGAGUGGUCGCCUGGCGUUGAGGAGCCUCGCCUUGCUACCUGAGUGAACCGGUGCUUGCUUCCUUCUUCUCCUAUGCUCUCUAGGUUCGUGAGAGGAAUGUCUUGCUUGUGCCUGGGAAGUGUCUGCUUCCCUUUGUUCAUAGGCGGAUUGCCUGGGCACUUCGUAGACGUCUUGAACCGGUGCAUAGGUUGAGUCCCUUGGUGCAUCUGAAUCAUAACGUCUGGAGGGCAUCUCUUCAGGAGGGUCUACUCUUGGUGCAGUAGUGCUAGUAGAGGAGCGGUUCAACUUCUUCUGCAUGGAUUUGUACAUCUUGAAGAACUUUCCAAUGAACUCGUCUUGGAACUUGCACCAGGCUUGGAGCUUGCUGAUCUUCUCAUGACUCUCAUUGAGGCUCUUGCUCUGUCUUGAUGGCGGUAUGUGUUCAGCAAAAUGGAACCUCCUGGUGUUAUAUUCCUCUAUAUCCAGGUCCUCUUCUUCUUCAGCAGCUUCGUUUUCUCCAGCAUUGGUUCCUUCUUCUUCAGCAGGUUGAACAACUUCGUUCACGCCAUAGAGCAUCUGAACAGGUGGUUUGAAAUCAAUAUUGCUUCUGUCCGUGAUCGUGGUGAAUGCCUGGUGAGGGAGGAGAAAUCUCGCCCCUUCUGCUUCUGGAAGAUCAAAUAUCCAGGCAUACCUUCCAUGCUGCAUCUCCCAAUCCAAUGACGUGGUCUUCCUCAAGUAUUCGAUGUCGACCCACUUAGGAAGGACCUCUUCUGACUCUAAAGGCACUCCACAUGCUAACAAUAUAGGUGUUAUCAGCCCACCCAUACACAAUUUUCCUUUAGCAGUUUUUUUGGCAUUCGUCACCGCCCAUGAUCUGUAGCUCCAUAGGUGGCCGAGUAAGAAGAAAACAGUAGAAGAGUUUGACUUGUCACCCACCAACACGGUAUUGUUUCUGGUUUCGCCCAGGGUUUCCUGCAGUGCCAUCACCAUCACUUCCAUCUCCCCGUUGACGAUCGUACCAGUUAUCUCCCUUGCAAAGAGGACACUGGCGAGGCUGCGGUGGAAGUAGCGGAGGACUGGGCUCCUGAUGGUGUUGCUCUUGGAGCGGAAGAGAAGAACUUACGUCAUCUCCAAUUGUCUCCAAGAGUCCAAUUAACUCUAUCCUGUCAACACGGUGGCCAGUGCCUACUCCGCUCUGAAACUCGAAGAGAGAUUCCAGCUGCUUCAGGGGGAAGAUGUACUCUUGGCCAUGGAUGGUGAAGGUCAAGUAGCCGAGCCCGUACUCUCUUUCUCUCUUCUUCUUCUUCUCAGAAAAGAUCUCAACUUAGAAGGAGGAGAGAAACUGGAUUGUUCCUCCUUGUAAGCGCUGUAGGGAUGGUUUAUGAGGGUGAAUAGACUGGUUUGCUCACAAAGAUACUCGAUAUCGUCAUAGAUACCGAGCUCCACCAUCGUCCCUGGAUGCGGGUACCUAGUCCCGACGAAGUUAUGCCGCCUGAAGAGCUCACAGUACUCUUCCAUUGAGAUUUUUUUCUUGUCUGUCUUCCAAGGCUUUGUUGCAACGUCCUUCAACGAACUGGAUAUCUCCUCCAUGAUUUUCUUGCCUCUUGUGAUGUCGUCUCUGAGCCGAGAGUACUCUUGACCUUCUCUUUCUGGAAGAGAUGUAGACCAUGACUCGUCCUCAUUAACAUUGUAGUUGUGAUCCUGGCUAGAGGCGUAGCUCACCUGGUCAUUGUAUGAACUCAUUUUUCGAACUGAACGAAUCAAACUCAAAACUACAAAUUAGUAGGUUAGUGAGUUCAAACAAUUAAAAACCAAGAUGGAAGAAAGAGUUAAAGUAAGUGAGCCUUAGAUAUAACAGAUGGAAGCAGUUAAGGGACGAUGUGGUCGAGUAAAGGAGGUGAGUGAAUGGCGGUGGGAGAGAGCUUGUGAUCGAGUAAAAGGAGUGAAAGGCGAACGAUUUAGCUGCCUCGGUGAUCGAGUAAACGGAGUGAAAGGUGGCUCGGCUUGGUUCAGUAGUGGCAAAUGGACCUUGGCGAUUGAGUAAGGUGAUGGGGAGCGGGCGUGAUGAAGGCCAGUGGUUGAGUAAACGUGUGGCAGAGGUGAUGAAGUUGCGAUGUUGGUGAUUUUAGAGAGAGAAGUGAGCUGGUGAAUGCUAGAGCUUUGUAGUGAGAGAGUGAUGAGUUGGUGUGCUUAGUUCUCCUUUGAAGUGUUGGAUAUAUAGGGGAAUGGUGUGAGUGGUGUGCCCUUGAAGAUGUGGAGGAGAAUGAAUGAGGCUUUAGGCUUGAAAUCAUGUGGAGGGGAGUGGAGCUCUCAUUAGAAACAUGUGGAAAAGAGGUGGGUAAGUUGGUGGCUUUAGUUUGGUGGGAGACAUGAUGGGAUGUAGGAGACAUGAUGGGAUGCCCCCAUUGACUCAAGUGGGGAAUCUCCUUAAGCACCAUUAGCAAAAUCGCAACUCAUUAGAGUUGAUUACUGUACCUUCAAGCUUGUUUUAACACUUGUUCCUUCUUCUAUUUUUCAGCUCCUAAACAAUCGAAUUGCACCAUACUGACCAUUAUACUCGAUCUCAACGUUGGUAGGGUGCUCUGUAGCACACUCUCAUCGUCUUGUUCUCCUUGUUAUCGAGUAUGUGGUUAUGAAUUAGAAUUUUUUUGUGAGUAAAAACACACAUACUCGACCCUCCUACUCGAUGGCAGAGUCUCAGGGUGCAACAAAAUUUUUUCAAAUUUUUGGAGUCCGUUGGGCUGAUAUACUCGAUCCCCAUGUCCUUGGUAGAGUAGAAUUUUUUUUGAAUUUUUACUCUAUCUCUAGAUUGUUUCUCCAUUCCUGAGAACCACAAACACAACCAAAACAAAUCAAAAAUAACAAGAAAGGAAAAAUUUAUUUACAGAGAUAGUCAUGGGAUUUCCUCCCAAGUGAGCUUGUUUUAAGUCUCUAGCUUGACUCCUCACACUUAUUAGGCGGAGAAGGUGUGACAGAGAAGACUUAAAAAGUCCUCUUCUUCACCGAGCUUAUCAUCAUACUCAGCUGUUGAAUACUCAAUUCCUCUUUCCUCAGAGUAGGCUGCUUCCUCUUCUGGUAGACAGUCUGUCUCUACUGACCAUUCCGAAGUGACUUUCCCUUCUGAAGCAAUGUGAAUGUUGGGCUGAGGUUGAACUUCUCUUUGAAAUCGACUCAAUGUGUCUCUAAACUCUUUGACAGUAUAGGCCAGCUCCUGUAUGGUUCUUUCUUGGAGAUCAGACUUCUUUUUGAACUCUCGCCAAUUAAACAUUGAAGGUAUACUCGAUCGAGCGAUUGAAUUCGAAGGUUGAGUUUGGACUAGAACUGGUUCCUUCAUUUUUGCGGCCUCAAAUCCUUCUCCUAGAACUGCUCUCUGAAUCUCUAAGGUCUUUCCCUAUGUUGUUGCCCUUGUUAGAGUUUUGUUGAUGUCAAACUGCAACCUGACGUGCUUCCCAAGGUUGAGAUCAAUCUUACCAUAUCUGACAUCUAUUACUGCUCCCACUGAGGCCAAGAAAGGUCGUCCCAAGAUCAGAGGAUCCUUAGAUUCUUCAUCCAUCUCAAGCACAACAAAAUCAGUAGGCACCUCUACUCCAUUAAUCAUCACUGGCACAUCCUCUAGCAGGCUAAAAGGUCUCCUUGAAGUCCUAUCAGCAAGAAUCAAGGUAAUGUCACAAGGCUUGUACUGGACGAAUCCUAACUUCCUUGCCACAGAGAGUGGCAUUAGGCUGACUGAGGCUCCUAGAUCACAUAGACAAUUGUUGAAAGUUAAUUGCCUAAUGGAGCAUGGUAGAGUGAAAGAUCCAGGAUCUUCCAACUUUUCUUGAAUAAUCCUCUCAUCAGUGGCUUGAAUUGAAUUGGUAUCAUAUUCAUCACCUGAAUCUUGAUAUAUGUUGAGCCUUUCCAAUAUCAAGUUUCUCACAUCUCUGUGAGGGUCCGGAAUCAGCUUGAGGACUUCUAUUAAUGGCAUCACUGCUUCCAUCUCGUCAAUCUGUUUCUCUGCAAGAGAUUCAUAUUUGUCUUUCCAAGUUUUCCUGAAUGUCCAUGGGAGAGCAAGUGAAGGUGAAGGACUUGGCUUGAAUCGCUUUACCAUUCUCUCGAUUAUAGCAGCUUUCUCUUCCAAGGCAGACUGAGUUUGAUGGCGGGAUUCAGCUGAAUGGUUUAGUUCAAUAACUGAGACUUCAAUCCGUUUAGAAGCCUCCCCUUCCUGAACUUCACUGUCCUCAGUGAUUGAGUGCUGGUCAUGUCGAGUGGGUUUCUUCAUAGCAUCAUUAAUGUCAAACUUCAUCUUAAAAUCUUUUCCAAGAUUAAGAUCAAUAUUCCCUUUUUUGACAUCUAUGACCGCUCCGGCUGUAGCUAAGAAGGGCCUCCCUAAGAUUAAAGGAUCUUUUGGUUCUUCAUCCAUUUCGAGCACUUUGAAAUCUGUGGGAACUUCAACAUUUCCAAUCUUGAUAGGCACAUCUUCCAAUAACCCAUGAGGUAGUCUAACAGACCCAUCAGCCAGGAUCAAGAAGUUGUUGCAAGAUUUGUACUCGCUGAAACCUAGUCUCUUGGCCACAGAGAGAGGCAUGAGACUUAUGUAACCACCUAGAUCACAUAGGCAGUUACUGAAGGCUAUAGGUCCUAUAGAGCAAGGGAAGGUAAACGAACCAGGAUCUCCCAAUUUCUUGGGAGGUGGCAGAAAGAUUGUAUCCUUGGUCUUUGUAGUAGCUGGUUUUUCAACAGUGGGAGCGACUGGCGAAGCUGGUGGGCGAGUAGACUGCUUGUCAAGUAUUGGCUCUUCUAGUGUUUGGUCAGCCACAACGUCAUCUUGACAGAAAUCCUCCCCCUCUUGAACUACACUGCUUGCAGUGAUUGAGUUAAGGGCAUGUCGAGUUGGCAGCUCUCGAUCAUAGCGGAUAGUGAUGGCGUUAGUAGUAUAUUCCUUGGGAUUCUGAAUUGACUUUCCUGGAAGUCCAGUAAUCUUGGGAGCAGAGGUUGACCCAGUUUGGCCUUCCAUGUAUCCGACCUUUGAGGUCAGUGCCUCUACCUUGAUGUUGAGAUCGUUAUGACUGCAGUCUAUCUUGUUGUUCAUGUCGGCCAGCUUCUUUGCGAUCUCCAUUAAACCUGAUGCUUAUCCUUGAAGAAGCUGUUGGAGCAUUUGCUUCAGGUCUGAGUCAGGAGUGCUAGAGGUUUGUUGUUGCUGUGGUACAAACCCAGGUGGUGGAUGCUGUGUUUGAUAACCUCCCUGAAACUGUUGCUUAGGAACAAACCCUUGACUUUGGUUGUAUGGGACGAAUGGUUUGGGUUGGGUCUGCUGUUGUGGAGGGUAGACUUGAUCCUACGGGUUUGCAACGUUGGUACUUCUGUAAGACAAAUUGGGAUUGUUCUUCUUAUAGUAGUUGUAGCCGCCUUGGUUUUGCACAUAGCUUACUUCUUCUGACUGAAGAGUCUCCCCAUCCUGGACUUGGAACGUCUCAUCUUCACAGAGAAAAUGGACUUGCUUCUGUUGCACAAGGAGUAGCUUGUCCAGCUUGUCAUUCAUGGCCUUCAUGUCCUUUCGGUGCUUCUCCUCUAAGUCUGAACUUCCUCCGAUGGUUCUGUCAUAAUCUUCAUUGUAGUUUCCAUCAGACUGAGCUAAAUUCUCUACCAGCUCCCAUCCUUCUUCAACUUCUUUGUUCAGGAAAUUCCCGUUGGAUGCUGUAUCCAGGAGCAUCCGGAUCUUAGGGAGAACUCCUCUGUAGAGAGUGCUCAAGAGUGAGGCUUUGGAGAAACCGUGGUGAGGACAUUGAUUCUGAUAUCCUCUGAAACGCUCCCAUGCUUCACAGAAAGUCUCAGCAUUCUUCUGAGUGAAGCCAGAAAUCUCAUUCCGGAGUCUUGCAGUCCUGGAGUUGGAGAAGAAUUUAGUCAGGAAAGCUUUCUUGCAGUCAUUCCAGGAGGUGAUGGAGCCUUGAGGAAGUGAUUUUUCCCACUGGUGGGCUUUGUCUCCAAGAGAAAAUGGAAACAAACGCAACUUGAAGCCAUCCUCACUGACUCCAUUGAUCUUAGUUAGGCUGCAGAGCCUAUCAAACUCAUCCAGAUGAUCGAGUGGAUCCUCCAUUGGAAGGUCGUGAAAUUUGUUGCCCUGAACCAUGGCAAUGAGACCACUCUUGAUCUCGAAGUUGUUGUUCUGCACUAGUGGAGGCACAAUGCCAUUGCGCUGAUUAUCAUUGCGUGGAGCAUCGCCUGCACCAAUGUUGUUUGGCAAUUCUGCGUUCUGAUCGUCGGCCAUAACGUCUGUGCCUGUCUAUUCUCUUAACUCACGAGCAAUACGGUCGAUGUUCUCGUUGAAAAGCAGGUUCUGAUGUCCUUUAGAUCGAGUAUGCAUGCAACAGGUAUCAGCUCGGCUUGAGCAGAGUAAUCGAAGAUAGUACCUAAAACACACAGACAGAGAGAAAGACACAGAGUUAGUAACCUUGUAAAAAAAAAAAAAAAAAAAAAAAAAAAAUUGAACUUGAUCUUAACGUUUCCAAAAAUCUCAAAUAUAGCAAAGAAAACACCCAAUUGGCAACGGCGCCAAAUUGAUAAUAGGAUUUUAAGAUCAAUUAAUCUUAAAGCACUAUCCUGUCGUUGUAGUAUUUUAGGUGUCAAUCCAAUCAAGUGUGAUGCAAACAAAUGAGAUAUGAUCAGAAAGCACUAAGUCAAGCCAAGCAUGAAUUGGUUGUUUUCCUAAUAGUCCUAGUGAUUGGUACAGAAAGUUGUAAAAAGAUACAAAAAUGACUAAUAUACUCUAUCACAAGGCUCACUGCCAGAAGGAGGAUGUGAUAGAGUAAAAGGGUCCAAAAACAGACAAUUAUCAAAACUCAAUAGCAAGUAACAGAGAAGGUGAAUGCAGCAGGUAAGUAAACAGAUAAAUCAAUUGGAUAAGAAACUCCUAAGGAUGGGGUAAUCGAAUAGUGUGGACUCCAUAAUCAAUUUCGAUGGUUAACAAUUCUCAAUGAAGCUAUCCCUAGACAACAGGUUCAACAACAGAUUUAUUCACUCCCGUGCAACAAAUCCUCAAGCAAAGCUAGUCCAGACUAAUUCCCAUUAACGGAAUCUAACUAUGCAGGCAAUAAGAACCGACUGUUAAAGUCAAUAACCGCUCUAAACGUCCAAUCCCUUGGGAUAGAGACGAUUAUCACUGGAAUUAGUAGAUCAAGCAUUCCAUCGAACACCUUCUGGGUGCGGGAAUGCUUGGGAUCGAAUUCCAGUUGAUCAGAAAGGAAUAAGCAGUAAACACAACUAAUCCAGAAGGGAUUCAAUAUAACUACACUUAACCAUCAGAUUCGACCAUGGGUCUCACAACUACUCUAUCCCAUCCUCAGAAAUCCUAGUCACUACUCAGACAACAUGCUCAAAGACACAUAAACGUUUGAUGAUUGCAUAACUUCUAAGAUUAAAGGAAAUAAAACAGAAAUGAACAAGGAAACGAAAGCGAAAUCUCAAUAACUUAGAAGAAAAGAAAAUACAGAAUUUCAGAAGCAAAAGCGGCUACUGAACGAAACUAGGUUGCGAGUCUAAAACGUAAUUGAAAAAAGAAUGUCUCAGGGAAAAUCCUUAGAAACUUAUUUAUAGUAAAAACGACAAAGAUAAGUAAGUGGGCUUCGAGUCCGCUUAACAGGCCCAUGGAACGUUGUGGUCGAGUAGAUGGGCUCAAAGUGGGCUUCAUGGUCGAGCGUGAAUCGAAGCCGCGAUCAAGUGGUUCCUUCUCUCCUCUUCUCUUUCCUAUGCUCAGGUUGUCUGGUUGAGUGCGGAUUGAUCAGAGGGUCGAGGUGGUGAUCGAGUAGAAUGGGUGGUGGCGUGGUCUGGACUGCUUCUUCUCUCUUAUGAUCGAGUAUGUGGGUAGACUGUCAGGACGGACUGCUUCUUCAACCUUGCGAACGAGUAUAACAGUGAACUGGCAGGAUGGACUGCUCCUCUUCCUCUGCGAUCGAGUAGAACAGUAUGGCUGGACUGCCCUGUGAUCGAGUAUAAGGGUCCUGGUGGUCUGCUGAGCUGACUGCUUCCCUCUCUGCUACUGGUGAUCGAGUAUAAGGGUCCAAAUGUGACUUUUAGCUCUGUUUUUCCUCUUUCUGAACACCAAUAGCUCUGAAACACCUGAAACAACUCCAGAAUGCAAAAUGCAUGCAAGACUAAUGCUAGACACACUUAAACAUGCAAAUUAUGCGAAAUGAUGAUGAAUGCUAUGAAAGAUGAAUGAAACUAGACUUAAAAUGGUGAUAAAUGGAUGUAUAAAACAUGCAAAUUAUAGACAUAUCACAUACCACUCGACCUUGUGGUCGAGUGACAUCAGCCUCCGUCUUCCCCAUCCACUCGACCAGGUCACUCAAUCACACCACUCGACCCCGUGGUCGAGUGACACCAGCGCCAGGACUCCUGAAGCACUCGACCAUAUCACUCUGACAUUCACUCGAUCACAUCUUCAGAGUCUUCUCAAAUCCGCACUCAACUAGACAAGCUGAGCAUAAGGAAGAGGAGAGAAGAAGAAGAAGUGUUCGGAAGCGGGCUGGAGUUUCACUCGAUCACAAGGCCCAGCUUCUGCCCAUUAUGACUCCAUGGGCCGAUCCAGUGGAUUUGCGACCCAUCUCUAUGUUUUGUAUAAAUAAGUCUUCGAGGGUUUUGUCCCGAGACAUCUAGUUUUUUGCUUCGAGUUUUCAUUUCUGUUAAACCUAGUUUACUCUAUCGCUUAGCCGCUUUCGUCUGCAAUCUUGUAAUUCGAGAUUUUUCCAAGUUAUUCGGAUUUCGCAUUUGAUUUCGUCUAUCACCUUGUUUCUCUACUCUUUAUCUCUUUACUUAUGCAAUAUUCUUGUUUAUUCGUGAUUACGUUUUUGAGCAUGAUGUCUGAGUAGUGAACUGUAUUUCUGGGGAUGGGAUGGAGUAGUCGUGGUUGCCUAGGUCGUUUUUAGAUGGUUGAGUUUAGAUUGUUUGAAUCCCUUCUGGAUUAUUUGUGCUUAUUGCUUGUUCCUUUCUGAUCAAGUGGAAUAUGAAUCCAGACAUUCCUGCACCCAAAAGGUGUUUGAUGGAAUGUUUGAUCCACUAAUUCCUGAGAUACUCGUCUUUAUCCCAAGGGAUUGGCCGUUUAGAGCGAGUAUUGGCUUUAACAAGUUGAUUCGAUAUUGCCUGCUAAUGAUUGGGGGGCUGACUGGAGGGUACCCAUCAAAAAUUUCAUUCUUAAUGGAGAACUACCAUCGAACAAAUGGCAAGCUCGCAAAUUAAAAAUCAUCAGCGCUAAGUAUUGUAUAAUUAAAGAGUCAUUGUACAAGCGAGGCGUCAGUGAUCCUUACCUUUUAUGUAUUUUGGGACCCGAAGUUGAAAUAGUGACAAGCGAGGUCCACGAAGGGCUUUGUGGUAGUCAUUCUUCAGGACGAGCAAUGGCUUUUAAAAUCAAACGGUUAGGAUAUUUCUGGCCAACUAUGAUUUCUGACUGCAUCGACUAUGCCAAACAGUGUAAAAAGUGUCAGAUGCAUGCUCCUCUUAUUCACCAGCCAUCUGAAAUUCUGUCAUCUAUAUCCGCUACAUACCCUUUCCAAAUGGAUCGAAGCAGAAGCCUACGUAAAUAUACAAGAUUCUGUGGUAAAAACAUUCUUGUGGAAACACAUUAUUUGUCGCCAUGGAAUUCCUUACGAAAUAGUAACGGACAACGGUCCUCAAUUCAUUUCAAAUGAAUUUGAAGAUUUUUGUUCCGCUUGGGGAAUAAAACUUAGCUAUUCAACGCCGAGGUAUCCUCAAGGAAAUGGGCAAGGGGAAGCUUCCAAUAAAAACAUUCUCAGCAAUCUUAAAAAGCGUUUGAAUGCUUGGAAAGGUGGUUGGUAUGACGAGCUGCAACCUGUGUUGUGGGCAUAUCGAACAACCCCGAGACGAGCAACGAGAGAAACUCCAUUUUCAUUAGUAUAUGGGAUGGAAGCUGUAGUCCCAGCCGAACUGAAUGUUCCUGGUUUACGCCGGAGCGAAGCUCCUCUUAACGAAGAACUAAAUUCUAAAUUAUUAGAAGAUGUUCUUGAUACAAUCGAUGAAAGGCGAGAUCAAUCCCUUAUUCGGCUUCAAAACUAUCAACAAUCGACCGCUCGGUACUAUAACUCAAAGUUGAAAAACAGACCUUUAAAUGUAGGAGACUUUGUUUUAAGACGAGUGUUCGAUAACACAAAAGAAGAAGGAGCUGAAAAACUCGGUAUUAACUGGGAAGGUCCUUAUCAAAUCACAGAAAAAAUCCGAAAUGGUGUUUACCGUUUACAAGACCUUGACGGAAAUCCCGUUCAAAGGCCUUGGAACGUCAUCAACUUGAAAAAGUUCUAUUGCUAAAGCAAACACAAUCGAACUACGAUUUGGCUUGAUCCUAUUUUGGGUACGUAGGCAGCUCGCUAAACACGAGUCCAUCUAUAACAUAAAAAUAAAAAUAUUAUUCAUAUCAUGGAAUCUUGUUUUUAUAAAUUCAAUAUUUGAACAUGAAUAUAAAAAUACAUUACGAACGAUGUAUAAAUAAAUAAGCUAGAACCAGAUCUAGAAGGGUCUUGAGUUACGGAACAACUUUGCUCCUUGACCUGCGAGGUCAACGAUGCUCAUAAUACAACCUGGCAUGUUUCCGUACUCCUGAAGUCCUAGUUCGAUCCAAUCGGAAAGAUGGGCUUUGAGGCGAUGAAGCUCGCGAGCAAUAUCGAGGCGACGCUUCUCUAGUUCCAUGAUCCUAUGCCUAAUCUCUUGUUUCUCAUUUUCGAGCUCGUCGUGCCGAAUGAUAAGCUGAAGAAAAUGAAAUGCUUCGUUUAGCAAUAAUAAAAAGAGUUAAAUCACCAGGUUUAACAAUACCUUGGUAAUAAACUCCUCGGCCUUGGCACGAUCUUGAGCUGAUAAUCUAUCAAUUAACACGUUUGGAACCUGAAUGCUCGUUCCCCAACCUAAUGGGCGUGAUUCUUCUGGUUCGUCGUUAGCUUCCGUUUUUACAAGAUUGAUGUCUGACGUCUCCGGAAGAUCAUCACUUAUCACUUUAAACGAGUCAGAGGGAUUCUCUGAGAAAUUACCUUCCUCAAACAUUUUUGUAGAAUUAUUGUUGAUUAAAUUCAAUAGCGAUCUACAUCUGCUUUAUAUUCAAAAUAUACUUGACCACAUUUAAGAGGGUAAAUUGACGAUUUCCCAAAUCUGAAAUUACUACUUUUAUGGAAAAUGUAAUCGAGUUCAUUACUAAUUAUAUUCCCUAGAUAAACGCAAUAAAUAUUAUUUGAUUGAAUCGACAAAUUUAAAGCAAAAAGGGAAUGUAAUUAAUAUUGCUGGGCCUCUAGCCCAAUAGUAUUUUACAUAAUAAUAAAAAAAAAAAUCAAGGGACUUGUUCGAUCAGAAGUCUUCGCCCGAUAACGAUUCUAGCGAGGUGGACGAUCCCGAACAGCUUUCUGAGAAAAGUCCCUGGUCGGAAGAUAGAUCGAGGGGACCGGAAGGAUGAUCAGUAGAUUUCUCCUCUGGUCCUUCAUUCUCUUCAGUUCUUAACAUCGGAAAUCUCCGAAAUUCUGAAGAACACGAAACAAACGAGGAUCCAUCGCCGGUCGCCAAGGAUAGAUGAAAAAAUUUGUCCAGCACUCGGAGGAAUCUUCGGAGACAAGUAGGAAUAAUGGCCACGAUGUCUAAACCGUUCCUCUCCCAUUCAUGCGGUUCAGAUUCUAGGCGAAGGAUCUCUCUUUCUAUCCUCUUUAUUCGCUCAUCAAGAGCAUGGCGCCUUCUUCCGAUUCUUUUUCUCUUAUCACAUAAAGCUUUAUGUUUCCCGACGACCUGUUUGAACAAACAUUUUGUUAACUGGUCGAAAAAGAGUUUAUAGUUUCUCGAAAAAACUAAAAAUCAGAAAGGGAACCUUUUCUAGGAAGUCAUAACAUUGGACCCUUUCUUUCCCCGUUCUGAAAUGGAAAAACGUGGGGCGAAUAACUCCAUUGGGGGAAAAUCCGUCCUCAGAUUCAAACAGCGGAUCCCCGCUUGAGGUUGUUACUCUUGAGCUGGAUCUGAAAGAGGAUAGCGGCAUAGUCUCACUUUUCUUAUAAAAACCUACAAGUCUCUCAGGAUUCUUUUUUAAAAACAAAAAAGCGUUCGGACUCUUUAAAGGAAUAAUAUAUAAUGGACCUGCUAAAGCAGAUUUCGGGUCCAAUUAAAACAUGGCCCAACACUUUUGGAGCCAUUUUUUAGGUCAUGAUCGAAACCAUUACCUGGUCAUUCUUAUGACAAAAUUCUCACGAAUUGUAAAAACUUUAUCCCUCGAUAAAAAGCCUAAGCCGAUCUCUAUCCUCGCACCCGAGAGACCGAGGAAAAAUACUUGUUAAGAUUUUUUCUUUAAAAAAGGCAAGUGAGCCUGAUCAGCUCAUCUCUCACAAUUCAUAAAACCUCUUUGGUGGGCUAGGACUUGCAAUUCAUCUCUCACAUUUCCGUCAAACAGAUUAGUCCUCAUGGAUACAGCAAAACAAUUCUUUAAGAGCGUCCCUCUGCCUCAGGAGAACCCUCGUGUGGCCGAGAACCUUCACCUACCUCGAAUUGAUAGGGGGAAUCUCCAAAUACCAAAGAAAAUUGUUUCAGCUCAAGAGUAGGACGGGAAGCCGAGGAUAACUCGGAUUCAACCACAGCGAGUUCGGCAGCAACUUCGCUCCUCUCGCUCUCGAACGAAACUCUUCCAGCCUCUAGUUCCUUAAUCAGGUCUAGAUUGCUCUUCAGUUCGGCUCGAUCGGUUAGAAGUUUAGUCCAGACCUCUUCGUCCUUGAUGAACUUCGUAACAGAUUGAAUAAGUUGCCUACCAAAUCCCCUCAUCUCUUCUCGAGCGUUAUGUUCGGCUUCAGCGAUAUCGCGAGCCGUGUUCCUAGUUAAAAGCUUGAUCUCUUGAUUCGCUUCUUCGAACAAAGCCGUAUUCUCUUCUAGCUCAGCCUCCAAGCGAAGAGCAUUAGACCAGAAUCUCUUUCAGCAUUCGCAAUUCUGAUGCGUUGCUCGUUAGCUGCUAGAGUUUUCUUCAUAUUUUCAAAAGAUGACUCGAGUGCUUUUUCCCGCUCAAGUCGCUCAGAUUGGUUGGCUAAUCUUAGUUCAUCAACCUCCUUCUUAGCCUUAGCAGUCUCUCUCUUCGCUUGAUGAAGAAGGUUCUCAUAAUGGAAGAUCAUUCCAUUAGUCUCCAUAAACGCCUUCGGAGUAAAAAAAAAACAUGUCGUUUAGACAAAAAGCUUUUGCCUAAGGAAGGGAGGUUGUCAUAAUCUAAAAGAUCCGAACCUGGGAUAGGUAGCAAGCUCGACUGGCGAACAUCUGACGGAUUUCCGGCCUCCAAACAGAAAAAGGAGGAAGGGACGCCCCUUCCCUGGUUUGGACACUUCGGAAGAUGUCUUCAAUCUCUUCUCCGCCUGCGAAGCAGAGGAGAAUAGCAGAUUAAUAAAAUAUAUGCUAUCUGUAACAAGUUUUGCUAAUGCUCGCUUUCUAAGUAAAAACUUACCUGAAAUCGAAGCGGGUAAAGGAUUUUGAGUCCUAACACUCAGUCCUUGAGAUAGGGGAGCCUCCGGUCUCGGCUCAUCUAUUUCCUUUGAAAUUACUCUGUCUCCCGGAAGAGGGAGCUCAGAGUUUAAAGGUUCUGAAGAGGGAGAAACAGAACGUAGAGGGCUAGAGACUCGUGGCGGAGAACUUAAUCUCACGGUUUUAAGUCUCUCGUUUGAUAGAUUAUCUGAAUCUGGAGCCUUCCUCUUUGUACAAGGAGAGGAAGUUACUUCUCCCUCACGCCCUUGUUCGGAAGGGCAAAUUACGGUGGCGAUAAGAGGGUCGUUAAGGAUCUCGGCUCCAUGAGUAUCCACCGCGGCUGACAGGGCCACUUCUAAUGAACCGUCAUCAACCAAGAGGGUCUUCCUGUGGAAGUUACCAACCCUGGAGAUAGCAGCUAUCCGUUUCUUUCUCCCGAUUUUGGAUAGCUGAUCCUUAAGAGCCUUGAUUUCAUCUUGCAUCUUUCUUUUAUCUCGAGCAUUUAGGCUCGAGACGUCUUUCUCUUCGUGAAGAGGAUCGAGGGGGUGAGUCUGACCGUCUUUAAUGGCGAGCCCCGCUUUAUGAAUACGUUGAAGGGUGAAGGAAUUCCAAUUUGUUUCACCCUCGGAAACGAUUCGAAAGAAGGACAAGAAGUCAACAGUUGGGCGGGGGAUCGUCUGGUUCCCUGAAACAAAGUGUUGGGUUAAGAAUUCUAUCUCUUUUACAUAAUACAGUGGAAAGUAAUAAAGGUUGGAUUUUUAACCAAGUUUAGCCGACCAAUUGGCGAGAAGAAGACCAGAAAGACCUUGAACGGAAUGGGGAUUGAAUCGGAAAAAGAAACAAUAUUUCCUCCAAGGCCCAUCAUUCGAGGGCAUUCCGUCGAUCAGGUUACGGUCAAGGAUAGGGUUUAUAGAAAAAAUACCUGCUGCUGCGGAUUCGUGGACUCGAAAUAGCGCUAAGAGUUCGCUAGUGGAGAGGGAAAACCCUGCUUCUGCCGAAAUCGUCAGGGUGCUCAGAACGUAUCGAAGAAAGUUGGGAGCCAUUUGGGGAAAGGGAAUCCCUAGGUGGAGGAGGUAUAAAAGAAGAACUUCCGGUACGGGAAAAAACAAACCACAACCUUUGAAAUAGACUUCGUACGCACAACAGUAACCCUCUCGCACCACUUCCGGAGACUCGUUGGGUCUAGGAAGAGAGAAUUCAAUUUUCUGGGGGAUGCUACAAAGGCGGCGAAGAACACCAAGGGAAGCAGAGGUCGACUGAGACCUAAAAUGCGGACCAAAUUUUUCUCCCUUUGGGUGAAGACUUCGUCCCCUCUGGGAACAGGGAUUCCUUGACUGUCAUCUUCGUUGUCCGAAACAUAGACGGCUGGGGAAUACAUCUUUUACUAAGAGGUUUCUCUUUUUCUGGUUUGGUAAAAUCUUUUAGAGGUAAAUGUACGCUGCUGUAAAAGCCGUCGUUCCAUUUAACCUUAUUUAGCAGAAAACCGCCUCGAGAAUAUUGGGAAGUGGGAGGGUUUUCCCCGCAGUAUUAAUAUAAAAUUAGAAAAUUAAUGAUGACGGUUGUCAGGGAUAUCAAAUCAUUUGAUUAUCCGAGAUCGGCGUAAUAGCGUAAAACAUGGAAUAAUUCCGGAAUGUUAAAGAUCUCGAAUCAUUAAUUACUAUUUACUUAAGUCUUCCAAGCCGAGCACUCAGCUCGCAAGACUUGGGGGGCUAAAUGUUGGGGUCGGAUCCCACACAUUUUUGGUAUGAUCCACUUGGAUCUGUCUACGUCAUUAUUACAUAAUAAUCCUCUUGGAGUUAAAGAUAUUUUAUUAUGAGAAUCGAGCUUAACCAGUCGGGAGUUUGAUUCAGUUUAUUAAAAGAGUUCGAUCUUUACCAGUACGGAGUUCGCUCUUAUUUCAACAUACAGUUCGCAUAGAGAUAGGCCGAAGCGAGGAGAAUAUUGUUCGGGGCUCGCGGCAGCGUCAAGACGCAGGAGUUCGGAGUCAACAAGAAAGAGUUCGGAAGAUCCGUGCGAAGCCCAAGAUAGUUCAAUUCAAGCCGUUUCGGUCAAAAUGUAACUUACAUGAUUAAUGCGGAUCAAUGCGAUUAUGAGCAGUAAAUGACCGUAUUGAUCAUGUUUUCUCUAUAAAAACUACCUCAAACGCAUGUGUUUGAGGGGGGGAUCUGAUUAUUCAUUACUUAAAAGCAAUACAAUACUUUUUCUCUCUUUACUAUCUUUGGCAAGGCAUUUUGUACUUCGUUCUUAUCAAUUUUCCUCAUUUUUUUCUUGGUUGAUUUCCUUUUCAAAUUCUCAUAUUCAUUUCCUGAUUUUACAAGAGUUUUUCUCUACAAAAAUACUUAAAGAUAAUCGAGUGUGAAUCCAACAUCCACAAAAAAUACUAACAAAGCUUCUUAUAGCUUCUCAAAUAUUUGUGGGUGUGGCCGAAGUCGUAUGAGUUUUCUGUGUUGGAGCUUCUAAUUGGAAAAACACUACUUUAGCUUCUGGGAUCCGGUUGCGGUUCUAGUUCUUAUACCCAAUCAUAAAAACGAGAUCUAGUCAUAUUUGACUCCAAAAACACUAACCAAGCUCCUUAUUGCUUCUCAAAUCUUUGUGGCUGCGGCUGAAGUCCUAUGAGUUUUCGGUUUUGGAGCUUCUAAACGGAAAAACACUACUUUAACUUUUGGGAUCCGGUUGCGGUUCUAGUUCUUAUACCCAAUCAUAAACACGAGAUCUAGUCAUAUUUGACUCCAAAAACACUAACCAAGCUUCUUAUUACUUCUCAAAUCUUUGUGGGUGUGGCCGAAGUCUUAUGAGUUUUGGGUUUUGGAACUUCUAAACGGAAAAACACUACUUUAGCUUUUGGGCUGCGGUUGCGGUUCUAGUUCUUAUACCCAAUCAUAAACAUGAGAUCUAGUCGUAUUUGCCUCCAAAAACACUAACCAAGCAUCUUAUUGCUUCUCAAAUCUUUGUAGGUGUGGCAGAAGUCCUAUGAAUUUUUGGUUUUGGAGCUUCUAAACGGAAAACACUACUUUAGUUACCAGAUCCGGUGGNNNNNNNNNNNNNNNNNNNNNNNNNNNNNNNNNNNNNNNNNNNNNNNNNNNNNNNNNNNNNNNNNNNNNNNNNNNNNNNNNNNNNNNNNNNNNNNNNNNNNNNNNNNNNNNNNNNNNNNNNNNNNNNNNNNNNNNNNNNNNNNNNNNNNNNNNNNNNNNNNNNNNNNNNNNNNNNNNNNNNNNNNNNNNNNNNNNNNNNNNNNNNNNNNNNNNNNNNNNNNNNNNNNNNNNNNNNNNNNNNNNNNNNNNNNNNNNNNNNNNNNNNNNNNNNNNNNNNNNNNNNNNNNNNNNNNNNNNNNNNNNNNNNNNNNNNNNNNNNNNNNNNNNNNNNNNNNNNNNNNNNNNNNNNNNNNNNNNNNNNNNNNNNNNNNNNNNNNNNNNNNNNNNNNNNNNNNNNNNNNNNNNNNNNNNNNNNNNNNNNNNNNNNNNNNNNNNNNNNNNNNNNNNNNNNNNNNNNNNNNNNNNNNNNNNNNNNNNNNNNNNNNNNNNNNNNNNNNNNNNNNNNNNNNNNNNNNNNNNNNNNNNNNNNNNNNNNNNNNNNNNNNNNNNNNNNNNNNNNNNNNNNNNNNNNNNNNNNNNNNNNNNNNNNNNNNNNNNNNNNNNNNNNNNNNNNNNNNNNNNNNNNNNNNNNNNNNNNNNNNNNNNNNNNNNNNNNNNNNNNNNNNNNNNNNNNNNNNNNNNNNNNNNNNNNNNNNNNNNNNNNNNNNNNNNNNNNNNNNNNNNNNNNNNNNNNNNNNNNNNNNNNNNNNNNNNNNNNNNNNNNNNNNNNNNNNNNNNNNNNNNNNNNNNNNNNNNNNNNNNNNNNNNNNNNNNNNNNNNNNNNNNNNNNNNNNNNNNNNNNNNNNNNNNNNNNNNNNNNNNNNNNNNNNNNNNNNNNNNNNNNNNNNNNNNNNNNNNNNNNNNNNNNNNNNNNNNNNNNNNNNNNNNNNNNNNNNNNNNNNNNNNNNNNNNNNNNNNNNNNNNNNNNNNNNNNNNNNNNNNNNNNNNNNNNNNNNNNNNNNNNNNNNNNNNNNNNNNNNNNNNNNNNNNNNNNNNNNNNNNNNNNNNNNNNNNNNNNNNNNNNNNNNNNNNNNNNNNNNNNNNNNNNNNNNNNNNNNNNNNNNNNNNNNNNNNNNNNNNNNNNNNNNNNNNNNNNNNNNNNNNNNNNNNNNNNNNNNNNNNNNNNNNNNNNNNNNNNNNNNNNNNNNNNNNNNNNNNNNNNNNNNNNNNNNNNNNNNNNNNNNNNNNNNNNNNNNNNNNNNNNNNNNNNNNNNNNNNNNNNNNNNNNNNNNNNNNNNNNNNNNNNNNNNNNNNNNNNNNNNNNNNNNNNNNNNNNNNNNNNNNNNNNNNNNNNNNNNNNNNNNNNNNNNNNNNNNNNNNNNNNNNNNNNNNNNNNNNNNNNNNNNNNNNNNNNNNNNNNNNNNNNNNNNNNNNNNNNNNNNNNNNNNNNNNNNNNNNNNNNNNNNNNNNNNNNNNNNNNNNNNNNNNNNNNNNNNNNNNNNNNNNNNNNNNNNNNNNNNNNNNNNNNNNNNNNNNNNNNNNNNNNAACACGAGAUCUAGUCAUAUUUGACUCCAAAUACACUAACCAAGCUUCUUAUUGCUUCACAAAUCUUUGAGGGUGCGCCCGAAGUCCUAUGAGUUUUCGAUUUUGGAGCUUCUAAACGGAAAAACACUACUUUAACGUUUGGGAUCCGGUUGCGGCUCUAGUUCUUAAACCUAAUUCAUACACAUGAGAUCUAGUCAUAUUGGACUCCAAAAAUACUAACAAAGCUUCUUAUAGCUUCUCAAAUCUUUGUGGGUGUGGCCGAAGUCGUAUGAGUUUUCUGUGUUGGAGCUUCUAAUUGGAAAAACACUACUUUAGCUUCUGGGAUCCGGUUGCGGUUCUAGUUCUUAUACCCAAUCAUAAACACGAGAUCUAGUCAUAUUUGACUCCAAAAACACUAACCAAGCUCCUUAUUGCUUCUCAAAUCUUUGUGGUUGCGGCCGAAGUCCUAUGAGUUUUUGGUUUUGGAGCUUCUAAACGGAAAAACACUACUUUAACUUUUCGGAUCCGGUUGCGGUUCUAGUUUUUAUACCCAAUCAUAAACAUGAGAUCUAGUCAUAUUUGCCUCCAAAAACACUAACCAAGCUUCUUAUUGCUUCUUAAAUCUUUGUAGGUGUGGCAGAAGUCCUAUGAAUUUUUGUUUUGGAGCUUCUAAACGGAAAACACUACUUUAGUUUACCGGAUCCGGUUGUGGUUCUUGUUCUUAUACCCAAUAAUAAACACGAGAUCUAGUCAAGUUUGACUCUAUAAACACUAACCAAGCUUCUUAUUGCAUCUCAAAUCUUUGUGGGUGCGGCCGAAGUCCUAUGAGUUUUCAGUUUUGGAGCUUGUAAACGGAAAAACACUACUUUAUCUUUUGGGCUUCGCUUGCGGUUCUAGUUCUUAUACCCAAUCAUAAACACGAGAUCUAGUCAUAUUUGACUCCAAAAACACUAAACAAGCUUCUUAUUGCUUCUCAAAUCUUUGAGGGUGCGGCCGAAGUCCUAUGAGUUUUCGAUUUUGGAGGUUCUAAAUGGAAAAACACUACUUUAACGUUUGGGAGCCGGUUGCGGCUCUAGUUCUUAAACCUAAUCAUAAACAUGAGAUCUAGUCAUAUUUGACUCCAAAAAUACUAACAAAGCUUCUUAUAGCUUCUCAAAUCUUUGUGGGUGUGGCCGAAGUCGUAUGAGUUUUCUGUGUUGGAGCUUCUAAAUGGAAAAACACAACUUUAACUUUUGGGAUGCGGUUGCGGUUCUAGUUCUUAUACCCAAUCAUAAACACGAGAUCUAGUCAUAUUUGACUCCAAAAACACUAACCAAGCUUCUUAUUACUUCUAAAAUCUUUGUGGGUGUGGCCGAAGUCUUAUGAGUUUUCGGUUUUGGAGCUUCUAAACGGAAAAACACUACUUUAUCUUUUGGGCUUCGCUUGCGGUUCUAGUUCUUAUACCCAAUCAUAAACACGAGAUCUAGUCAUAUUUGACUCCAAAAACACUAACCAAGCUUCUUAUAGCUUCUCAAAUCUUUGUGGGUGUGGCCGAAGUCCUAUGAAUUUUCUGUGUUGAAGCUUCUAAAAGGAAAAACACUACUUUAGCUUUUGGGCUGCGGUUGCGGUUCUAGUUCUUAUACCCAAUCAUAAACAUGAGAUCUAGUCAUAUUUGCCUCCAAAAACACUAACCAAGCUCCUUAUUGCUUCUCAAAUCUUUGUGGGUGCGGCCGAAGUCCUAUGAGUUUUCGGUUUUGGAGCUUCUAAACAGAAAAACACUACUUUAACUUUUGGGAUCCGGUUGCGGUUCUAGUUCUUAUACCCAAUCAUAAACACGAGAUCUAGUCAUAUUUGACUCCAAAAACACUAAACAAGCUUCUUCUUGCUUCUCAAAUCUUUGUGGGUGUGGCCGAAGUCUUAUAAGUUUUCAGUUUUGGAGCUUCUAAACGGAAAAACACUACUUUAGCUAUUGGGCUGUGGUUGCGGUUCUAGUUCUUAUACCCAAUCAUAAACAUGGGAUCUAGUCAUAUUUGCCUCCAAAAACACUAACCAAGCUUCUUAUUGCUUCUCAAAUCUUUGUAGGUGUGGCAGAAGUCCUAUGAAUUUUUGUUUUGGAGCUUCUAAACGGAAAACACUACUUUAGUUUACCGGAUCCGGUUGUGGUUCUAGUUCUUAUACCCAAUAAUAAACACGAGAUCUAGUCAAGUUUGACUCUAUAAACACUAACCAAGAUUCUUAUUGCUUCUCAAAUCUUUGUGGGUGCGGCCGAAGUCCUAUGAGUUUUCAGUUUUGGAGCUUCUAAACGGAAAAACACUACUUUAUCUUUUGGGCUUCGCCUGCAGUUCUAGUUCUUAUACCCAAUCAUAAACACGAGAUCUAGUCAUAUUUGACUCCAAAAACACUAACCAAGCUUCUUAUUGCUUCACAAAUCUUUGAGGGUGCGGCCGAAGUCCUAUGAGUUUUCGAUUUUGGAGGUUCUAAACGGAAAAACACUACUUUAACGUUUGGGAUCCGGUUGCGGCUCUAGUUCUUAAACCCAAUCAUAAACAUGAGAUCUAGUCAUAUUUGACUCCAAAAAUACUAACCAAGCUUCUUAUAGCUUCUCAAAUCUUUGUGGGUGUGGCCGAAGUCGUAUGAGUUUUCUGUGUUGGAGCUUCUAAUUGGAAAAACACUACUUUAGCUUCUGGGAUCCGGUUGUGGUUCUAGUUCUUAUACCCAAUCAUAAACACGAGAUCUAGUCAUAUUUCCCUCCUCAAACACUAACCAAGCUCCUUAUUGCUUCUCAAAUCUUUGUGGCUGCGGCCGAAGUCCUAUGAGUUUUUGCUUUUGGAGCUUCUAAACGGAANNNNNNNNNNNNNNNNNNNNNNNNNNNNNNNNNNNNNNNNNNNNNNNNNNNNNNNNNNNNNNNNNNNNNNNNNNNNNNNNNNNNNNNNNNNNNNNNNNNNUCUUUGUGGGUGUGGCCGAAGUCCUAUUAGUUUUCUGUUUUGGAGCUUCUAAAUGGAAAAACACUAUUUUAGCUUUUGGGAUCCUAUUGCGGUUCUAGUUCUUAUACCCAAUCAUAAACACGAGAUCUAGUCAUAUUUGACUCCAAAAACACUAACCAAGCUUUUCAUAGCUUCUCAAAUUUUUGUGGGUGUGGCCGAAGUCCUAUGAGUUUUCUGUGUUGGAGCUUCUAAAUGGAAAAACACUACUUUAGCUUUUGGGAUCCGGUUGAGGCUCUAGUUCUUAAACCCAAUUAUAGACAUGAGAUCUAGUCAUAUUUGACUCCAAAAACACUUACCAAGCUUUUAAUUGCUUCUCAAAUCUCUGUGGGUGUGGCCGAAGUCCUAUGAGUUUUCUGUUUUGGAGCUUCUAAACGGAAAAACACUACUUAAGCUUUUGGGAUCCGGUUGCGGCUCUAGUUCUUAAACCCAAUCAUAAACAUGGGAUCUAGUCAUAUUUGACUCCAAAAAUACUAACCAAGCUUUUUAUUGCUUCUCAAAUCUUUGUGGGUGUGGCCGAAGUCCUAUGAGUUUUCUGUUUUGUAGCUUCUAAACGGAAAAACACUACUUUAGCUUUGGGGAUCCGGUUGCGGCUCUAGUUCUUAAACUCAAUCAUAAACAUGAGAUCUAGUCAUAUUUGACUCCAAAAACACUAACCAAGAUUUUUAUUGCUUUUCAAAUCUUUGUGGGUGUGGCCGAAGUCCUAUGAGUUUUCUGUUUUGUAGCUUCUAAACGGAAAAACACUACUUUAGCUUUUAGGAUCUGGUUGCGGCUCUAGUUCUUAAACCCAAUCAUAAACACGAGAUCUAGUCAUAUUUGACUCCAAAAACACUAACCAAGCAUUUUAUUGCUUCUCAAAUCUUUGUGGGUGUGGCCGAAAUCCUAUGAGUUUUCUGUGUUGGAGCUUCUAAACGGAAAAACACUACUUUAGCUUUUGGGAUCCGGUUGCGGCUCUAGUUCUUAAACCCAAUCAUAAACAUGAGAUCUAGUCAUAUUUGACUCCAAAAACACUAACCAAGUUUCUUAUUGCUUCUCAAAUCUUUGUGGGUGUGGCCGAAGUCCUAUGAGUUUUCUGUUUUGGAGCUUCUAAAUGGAAAAACACUACUUUAGCUUUUUGGAUCCGGUUGCGGUUCUAGUUCUUAUACCUAAUCAUAAACACGAGAUCUAGUCAUAUUUGCCUCUAAAAACUCUAACCAAGCUUCUUAUUGCUUCUCAAAUCUUUGUGGGUGUGGCCAAAGUCCUAUGAGUUUUCUAUGUUGGAGCUUCUAAACGGAAAAACACUACUUUACCUUUUGGGAUCCGGUUGCGGUUCUAGUUCUUAUACCCAAUCAUAAACACGAGAUCUAGUCAUAUUUGACUCCAAAAACACUAACCAAGCUUCUUAUUGCUUCUCAAAUCUUGGUGGGUGUGGCUGAAGUCCUAUGAGUUUUCGGUUUUGGAGCUUUUAAACGGAAAAACACUACCUUAGUUUACGGUAUCCGGCUGUUCUUAAACCCAAUCAUAAACACGAUAUCUAGUCAUAUUUGGUUCCAAAAACACUAACUAAGCUUCUUAUUGCUUCUCAAAUCUUUGUGGGUGUGGCCGAAGUCCUAUGAGUUUUCGGUUUGGAGCUUCUAAAUGGAAAAACACUAUUUUAGCUUUUGGGAUCCGGUUGCGGUUCUAGUUCUUAUACCCAAUCAUAAACACGAGAUCUAGUCAUAUUUGACUCCAAAAACACUAACCAAGCUUCUUAUAGCUUCUCAAAUCUUUGUGGGUGUGGCCGAAGUCCUAUUAGUUUUCUGUUUUAGAGCUUCUAAAUGGAAAAACACUAUAUUAGCUUUUGGGAUCCGAUUGCGGUUCUUGUUCUUAUACCCAAUCAUAAACACGAGAUCUAGUCAUAUUUGACUCCAAAAACACUAACCAAGCUUUUCAUAGCUUCUCAAAUUUUUGUGGGUGUGGCCGAAGUCCUAUGAGUUUUCUGUGUUGGAGCUUCUAAAUGGAAAAACACUACUUUAGCUUUUGGGAUCCGGUUGAGGCUCUAGUUCUUAAACCCAAUUAUAGACAUGAGAUCUAGUCAUAUUUGACUCCAAAAACACUAACCAAGCUUUUAAUUGCUUCUCAAAUCUCUGUGGGUGUGGCCGAAGUCCUAUGAGUUUUCUGUUUUGGAGCUUCUAAACGGAAAAACACUACUUAAGCUUUUGGGAUCCGGUUGCGGCUCUAGUUCUUAAACCCAAUCAUAAACAUGGGAUCUAGUCAUAUUUGACUCCAAAAAUACUAACCAAGCUUUUUAUUGCUUCUCAAAUCUUUGUGGGUGUGGCCGAAGUCCUAUGAGUUUUCUGUUUUGUAGCUUCUAAACGGAAAAACACUACUUUAGCUUUGGGGAUCCGGUUGCGGCUCUAGUGUAAGAAUGUCGAGAUUAGGUUGCGAGAAUGGGACUAAGUAUGAGCGGAAAUGAGAUUGAGAGAUUAGAGAGAAAGAGAUUUGGUGAAGAGAAAGAGAGAGAUUAUCUCUUCUUACUUGAAAUGGCAAUUACAAAGGUUCCCUUUAAAGGGUUGAACAAAAGGAAUAUCCAAGAGGAUAUGCUACUCUUAUCUACACUUGUACCAUAAAGCAAAAGUAAAACGCGUCAUAAAGCAAGCCGCGUCUCCUUCCUUCUUUGAACGUGUAACGGCUAUAAGGGAAGGAUCCGGAGGCUUCUAGAAGACUCUUGGAGAGGAUCCAAGGCUAAAUGCCCGAGAGAAAUCUUCAUGGGCCGAGGCAAAUCUUCAACCGUACGGACGGCCUUAUUCUCUCGUACCGCGGGUUGUAACUCGCGGGUUACGGUCUUGAUUACGGUCGGGUUACGGUCUUGAUUACGGUCGGGUUACGGUCGGGUUGUAACUAGAGAUUUCACUCGUCCCAAACUACUUCUCUUGAUUAUUUGGUUCAAUACUCCCCCUCAAGCUAACCAUAGAUGUAUCUAGGUUAAGCUUGGAUCCAAAUUCAACCACCUCAUUAAAAACCUAAGUGUAGAAAACCUCAUGGGAUAAAACCACACUUAGGGAAAAAGAGUAUGGGAUAUUUGGCUAAGAGGAUCAUGGCCGAGAGAGGUCAACAAGUCCAAGUUUGUGAUGAAUGUACUCACAAACUUUGGUGCUAGCUCCUUUGGUAAAGAUGUCGGCCAAUUGUUCUUCAGUAUCGGUGUAGCAAGGUAGGAUUACUCCAAGUUGAACUUGUUCUCGGACCUUGUGACAAUCCACCUCAAUGUGCUUAGUUCUUUCAUGGAACACUGAAUUUGAGGCGAUAUGAAUGGCAGCUUGAUUGUCGCAAUGCAUGGUGAUUGGCUUUGGUGUGUCAAUUCCGAAGUCUUUGAGGAGAGCUUUCAACCACAUAAGUUCAGUUGUGAGCUUUCUCAUGGCCCGGUACUCAGCUUCACAACUUGAAAGGGAGACCACCUUUUGCUUCUUGCUUCUCCAAGUAACUAGGUUGCCACCAAUGAAUGUGCAAUAGCCGGUGGUUGACCUCCUAUCCUUUUUAUCUCCAGCAUAGUCCGCAUCACAAUAUCCCACCAGCUCCGUGUUUUUGUUGCAUCCCAUCCAAAUGCCUUGGCCCGGAGCUCCUUUGAGAUAUUUGAGGAUGCGGUUCACCAUGUUCCAAUGAUGUAGCGUGGGAGCUUGCAUGUGUUGACUUACUACAUUCUCAGCAAAGCAAAUGUCAGGCCUAGUAAUGGUUAAAUAAAUGAGCUUACCUACAAGUCUUCGAUAUUGUGUGACAUCUUCGAAAGGCUUGUUGUCAAGCUCCCCCUUACGAUUGGCCUUGUAAUCAUCUUCCAAGGGAGUCUUAGCAGGUUUUGCUCCAAGCUUACCUACUUGACUAAGAAGAUCAAGAGUGUACUUCCUUUGAGAUAAGAAGAGACCUUCCUUUGAUCUACAAACUUCUAUCCCAAGGAAGUACUUUAGUUCACCAAGGUCUUUUAUAUCAAAAACACUCUUAAGAAAGGUUUUAGUCUCUUGAAUCCCUACCUUGUCAUUCCCGGAGAUGAUAAUAUCAUCUACAUAAACGAGAAUGACUACUAUACCUUCCUUGCUUGGGAGAGUGAAGAGGGUGUUGUCAGCUUCCGACUUCUUGAAUCCUCUUUCCAGCAAGGUUGUGCUAAGCUUGUGGUACCAAGCUCUCGGGGAUUGCUUCAAACCAUAGAUAGCUUUCUUGAGUUUAAAGACCUUCCCGGGUGCAUUAUGAUCUUCAAGACCCGGUGGUGGCUUCAUGUAGACUUCUUCUUCAAGUUCUCCUUGAAGGAAGGCAUUCUGAACAUCCAUUUGCCAAAGUUCCCACUCCAAGUUGGUAGCUAGAGAGAGAACCACUCUAACCGUAUGGAGCUUUGCAACCGGGGCAAACGUAUCCAAGUAAUCCACCCCAUACGUUUGAGUGAACCCUCUUGCAACAAGCCUAGCUUUGUAGCGUUCAAUGUCCCCAUUGCUCUUGUACUUGAUAGUGAAGACCCACUUGGAUGUCACAGCUCUCUUGCCUUUAGGUAACUCUCCUUCUUCCCAAGUAUGGUUAUGUUCCAUAGCUUGUCUUUCGGCGGCUAUAGCUUCUCUCCAUACUUGAUGUUGGAUAGCUUCUUCAUAGGUUUGAGGAAUCCAAUGUUGGUCAAUUUGUCCAAGGAAGACUUGAUGUUCUUCGGGAAAACACUACUUUACCUUUUGGGAUCCGGUUGCGGUUCUAGUUCUUAUACCCAAUCAUAAACACGAGAUCUAGUCAUAUUUGACUCCAAAAACACUAACCAAGCUUCUUAUUGCUUCUCAAAUCUUGGUGGGUGUGGCCGAAGUCCUAUGAGUUUUCGGUUUUGGAGCUUUUAAACGGAAAAACACUACCUUAGUUUACGGUAUCCGGUUGUUCUUAAACCCAAUCAUAAACACGAUAUCUAGUCAUAUUUGGUUCCAAAAAUACUAACCAAGCAUCUUAUUGCUUCUCAAAUCUUUGUGGGUGUGGCCGAAGUCCUAUGAGUUUUCGGUUUGGAGCUUCUAAAUGGAAAAACACUAUUUUAGCUUUUGGGAUCCGGUUGCGGUUCUAGUUCUUAUACCCAAUCAUAAACACGAUAUCUAGUCAUAUUUGACUCCAAAAACACUAACCAAGCUUCUUAUAGCUUCUCAAAUCUUUGUGGGUGUGGCCGAAGUCCUAUUAGUUUUCUGUUUUGGAGCUUCUAAAUGGAAAAACACUAUUUUAGCUUUUGGGAUCCGAUUGCAGUUCUAGUUCUUAUACCCAAUCAUAAACACGAGAUCUAGUCAUAUUUGACUCCAAAAACACUAACCAAGCUUUUCAUAGCUUCUCCAAUUUUUGUGGGUGUGGCCGAAGUCCUAUGAGUUUUCUGUGUUGGAGCUUCUAAAUGGAAAAACACUACUUUAGCUUUUGGGAUCCGGUUGAGGCUCUAGUUCUUAAACCCAAUUAUAGACAUGAGAUCUAGUCAUAUUUGACUCCAAAAACACUAACCAAGCUUUUAAUUGCUUCUCAAAUCUCUGUGGGUGUGGCCGAAGUCCUAUGAGUUUUCUGUUUUGGAGCUUCUAAACGGAAAAACACUACUUAAGCUUUUGGGAUCCGGUUGCGGCUCUAGUUCUUAAACCCAAUCAUAAACAUGGGAUCUAGUCAUAUUUGACUCCAAAAAUACUAACCAAGCUUUUUAUUGCUUCUCAAAUCUUUGUGGGUGUGGCCGAAGUCCUAUGAGUUUUCUGUUUUGUAGCUUCUAAACGGAAAAACACUACUUUAGCUUUGGGGAUCCGGUUGCGGCUCUAGUGUAAGAAUGUCGAGAUUAGGUUGCGAGAAUGGGACUAAGUAUGAGCGGAAAUGAGAUUGAGAGAUUAGAGAGAAAGAGAUUUGGUGAAGAGAAAGAGAGAGAUUAUCUCUUCUUACUUGAAAUGGCAAUUACAAAGGUUCCCUUUAAAGGGUUGAACAAAAGGAAUAUCCAAGAGGAUAUGCUACUCUUAUCUACACUUGUACCAUAAAGCAAAAGUAAAACGCGUCAUAAAGCAAGCCGCGUCUCCUUCCUUCUUUGAACGUGUAACGGCUAUAAGGGAAGGAUCCGGAGGCUUCUAGAAGACUCUUGGAGAGGAUCCAAGGCUAAAUGCCCGAGAGAAAUCUUCAUGGGCCGAGGCAAAUCUUCAACCGUACGGACGGCCUUAUUCUCUCGUACCGCGGGUUGUAACUCGCGGGUUACGGUCUUGAUUACGGUCGGGUUACGGUCUUGAUUACGGUCGGGUUACGGUCGGGUUGUAACUAGAGAUUUCACUCGUCCCAAACUACUUCUCUUGAUUAUUUGGUUCAAUACUCCCCCUCAAGCUAACCAUAGAUGUAUCUAGGUUAAGCUUGGAUCCAAAUUCAACCACCUCAUUAAAAACCUAAGUGUAGAAAACCUCAUGGGAUAAAACCACACUUAGGGAAAAAGAGUAUGGGAUAUUUGGCUAAGAGGAUCAUGGCCGAGAGAGGUCAACAAGUCCAAGUUUGUGAUGAAUGUACUCACAAACUUUGGUGCUAGCUCCUUUGGUAAAGAUGUCGGCCAAUUGUUCUUCAGUAUCGGUGUAGCAAGGUAGGAUUACUCCAAGUUGAACUUGUUCUCGGACCUUGUGACAAUCCACCUCAAUGUGCUUAGUUCUUUCAUGGAACACUGAAUUUGAGGCGAUAUGAAUGGCAGCUUGAUUGUCGCAAUGCAUGGUGAUUGGCUUUGGUGUGUCAAUUCCGAAGUCUUUGAGGAGAGCUUUCAACCACAUAAGUUCAGUUGUGAGCUUUCUCAUGGCCCGGUACUCAGCUUCACAACUUGAAAGGGAGACCACCUUUUGCUUCUUGCUUCUCCAAGUAACUAGGUUGCCACCAAUGAAUGUGCAAUAGCCGGUGGUUGACCUCCUAUCCUUUUUAUCUCCAGCAUAGUCCGCAUCACAAUAUCCCACCAGCUCCGUGUUUUUGUUGCAUCCCAUCCAAAUGCCUUGGCCCGGAGCUCCUUUGAGAUAUUUGAGGAUGCGGUUCACCAUGUUCCAAUGAUGUAGCGUGGGAGCUUGCAUGUGUUGACUUACUACAUUCUCAGCAAAGCAAAUGUCAGGCCUAGUAAUGGUUAAAUAAAUGAGCUUACCUACAAGUCUUCGAUAUUGUGUGACAUCUUCGAAAGGCUUGUUGUCAAGCUCCCCCUUACGAUUGGCCUUGUAAUCAUCUUCCAAGGGAGUCUUAGCAGGUUUUGCUCCAAGCUUACCUACUUGACUAAGAAGAUCAAGAGUGUACUUCCUUUGAGAUAAGAAGAGACCUUCCUUUGAUCUACAAACUUCUAUCCCAAGGAAGUACUUUAGUUCACCAAGGUCUUUUAUAUCAAAAACACUCUUAAGAAAGGUUUUAGUCUCUUGAAUCCCUACCUUGUCAUUCCCGGAGAUGAUAAUAUCAUCUACAUAAACGAGAAUGACUACUAUACCUUCCUUGCUUGGGAGAGUGAAGAGGGUGUUGUCAGCUUCCGACUUCUUGAAUCCUCUUUCCAGCAAGGUUGUGCUAAGCUUGUGGUACCAAGCUCUCGGGGAUUGCUUCAAACCAUAGAUAGCUUUCUUGAGUUUAAAGACCUUCCCGGGUGCAUUAUGAUCUUCAAGACCCGGUGGUGGCUUCAUGUAGACUUCUUCUUCAAGUUCUCCUUGAAGGAAGGCAUUCUGAACAUCCAUUUGCCAAAGUUCCCACUCCAAGUUGGUAGCUAGAGAGAGAACCACUCUAACCGUAUGGAGCUUUGCAACCGGGGCAAACGUAUCCAAGUAAUCCACCCCAUACGUUUGAGUGAACCCUCUUGCAACAAGCCUAGCUUUGUAGCGUUCAAUGUCCCCAUUGCUCUUGUACUUGAUAGUGAAGAUCCACUUGGAUGUCACAGCUCUCUUGCCUUUAGGUAACUCUCCUUCUUCCCAAGUAUGGUUAUGUUCCAUAGCUUGUCUUUCGGCGGCUAUAGCUUCUCUCCAUACUUGAUGUUGGAUAGCUUCUUCAUAGGUUUGAGGAAUCCAAUGUUGGUCAAUUUGUCCAAGGAAGACUUGAUGUUCUUCGGGAAAACACUACUUUACCUUUUGGGAUCCGGUUGCGGUUCUAGUUCUUAUACCCAAUCAUAAACACGAGAUCUAGUCAUAUUUGACUCCAAAAACACUAACCAAGCUUCUUAUUGCUUCUCAAAUCUUGGUGGGUGUGGCCGAAGUCCUAUGAGUUUUCGGUUUUGGAGCUUUUAAACGGAAAAACACUACCUUAGUUUACGGUAUCCGGCUGUUCUUAAACCCAAUCAUAAACACGAUAUCUAGUCAUAUUUGGUUCCAAAAAUACUAACCAAGCAUCUUAUUGCUUCUCAAAUCUUUGUGGGUGUGGCCGAAGUCCUAUGAGUUUUCGGUUUGGAGCUUCUAAAUGGAAAAACACUAUUUUAGCUUUUGGGAUCCGGUUGCGGUUCUAGUUCUUAUACCCAAUCAUAAACACGAUAUCUAGUCAUAUUUGACUCCAAAAACACUAACCAAGCUUCUUAUAGCUUCUCAAAUCUUUGUGGGUGUGGCCGAAGUCCUAUUAGUUUUCUGUUUUGGAGCUUCUAAAUGGAAAAACACUAUUUUAGCUUUUGGGAUCCGAUUGCAGUUCUAGUUCUUAUACCCAAUCAUAAACACGAGAUCUAGUCAUAUUUGACUCCAAAAACACUAACCAAGCUUUUCAUAGCUUCUCCAAUUUUUGUGGGUGUGGCCGAAGUCCUAUGAGUUUUCUGUGUUGGAGCUUCUAAAUGGAAAAACACUACUUUAGCUUUUGGGAUCCGGUUGAGGCUCUAGUUCUUAAACCCAAUUAUAGACAUGAGAUCUAGUCAUAUUUGACUCCAAAAACACUAACCAAGCUUUUAAUUGCUUCUCAAAUCUCUGUGGGUGUGGCCGAAGUCCUAUGAGUUUUCUGUUUUGGAGCUUCUAAACGGAAAAACACUACUUAAGCUUUUGGGAUCCGGUUGCGGCUCUAGUUCUUAAACCCAAUCAUAAACAUGGGAUCUGUAAAAUAUUUAGAAUCAAGUAGGGAAAAUAGAGAUGAACAUGAUGAAUAAGAGAGAAAGAUGAUUUAUUGUAAUGUCAUAAAAGUUACAAAUGAUGUGUGGCUGCACACGGUUUAUAUAGAGAGCUUACUAGGUCUAAAUGGGUAUGCACAUAACCUUAAAAGCAUCCUCAUUUAGCCUAGUGAGUCACCAUGUGCUUUUGCCACUUUACAGCUCAUUACAACGGUCAUCAGCUACAAGACAAGGCCGUACCCGCGCUUAGCACCAUCCGGAUAAGGAUGGUCUCCUUCCCGCGUCCGUACAGCCCGAGAUGGUCUCCUUCCCGCGUCCGUACAGCCCGAGAUGGUCUCCUUCCCGCGUCCGUACAGCCCGAGAUGACCGUUACCACUCUUCCUCUUAUUCAAACUGGUUACUUGCAUAACACGAAACCCAUUUCAUUCAUAACUAUUACUUAGUUAGAAUCAAAUGUCUUCUUGAUCAAUACUCCCCCUCAAGUUUAUACUACAAUAAUCAUUGUUAUAAACUUGACACUUAUGCGAGUGACCUCGUUAAAAACCUAAGAUUGGAAAACCACGUGGGACAAAACCAAUCUUAGGGAAAAAGAGUAUCACUGACAUAAGCAGGGAAGUUCUCUCAAGGGUGUGUUAGGUCUACAAGUCCAAGCUUGCCAUGAAUAAACUUGCAAACGUGGGUACUUGCUGCCUUGGUAAAGAUAUCGGCCAAUUGGUCCGAACUUUCAGUGUAACUGAUACUAGGAUUUUACUAUCAAUUACCCUAAUAUACUUUCAUGUCAUUGCAGUAUAAGAGGUUAUCAAUCCAAUCAGGUGCUCUUACUAUCAAUCAAGAUAUGCUCAGAGAUAACUAAGUCAAGCCAAGCAGAAUAUUGUUUUGUUAUCUAGCAAUACUAAGCGAUCAUGCAUAAGCGAUAAAACUACAGAACAAGAGUGAACAUGCAUAAAGAGAAAGAACUAUCAAUACUAAGCAGCAAUAAGCAACAGGUAAAGAGACAAGUAAAUCAAAUGAGAUAAAAGGUCCUGAGGAUAGGGUAAUUGAUUAUAGCAGUCUCCUUAAUCUACUUAGGUGGUUAACAAUCCAAACAGGCUAUCCCUAGACAAUAGAUUCAACUACAGAUCAAUCCACUCUCGUGACAGAGAUCCUCAAGCAAUACCAGUUCCAGACCUAAUCAUCAUUAGCGAAAUCUAGCAAAGCAGGCAAUAAGAUUCAAUCUAAUAUAGUCAAUAAACAUUCUAAACAUCCAAUCUCUUGGGCUAGAGUAUGUAAAUCUCUGGAGUAGUUGGUUCAGACAUUUCAUCGAACACCUGGUGGGUGUGGAAAUGUCUGGGUUCAAAUCCCAGUUGAUCAGAAAGGAAUAAGCACUAAGUACUACUAAUCCAGAAGGGAUUCAAGCAAUUCUACACUUAACCACCUAAAUAAACUAAGGAUUCCACACCUAAUCUAUCCCAUCCUCAAGAACCCUAAUCCACUACUCAGACAUGCUCAAGAACACAAACCCAGAAAAUUGCACAAACCCAGAAAUCGCUAAAAACAUCAUAUGUUAUAGAUCAAAGCAAGAUAAACAACUUUGCAGAAGGAAAUUAUUGCAAAAACUCAAAGGAUCAAAAGUAAUUUGGAUUACAAAAGUUUGCAGAAAUAUUGUUCAGAGGAUAAAAACGAGAUCCUUUGGGCAAAGCCCUAAGAGGUCUAUUUAUAGCAAAAGUAGAAAACCCUAGUACACAAAACGACAAAAUAGAAAGUCGGUUUAGGGUCUACUCGAGCUGGUACUCGAGUGGCUUGGUCGAGUAGUCCAUUCUUCAAAGGUUGCAUCUUGCUCGGGUAAGUCUCUCAGGUCCAGUUCGAGUAGCCUGUUCGAGUAGGUUGGUCGAGUAUGUCUUGGUCUUCUCUUCAGAAAUCUGCUCGAGUACACUACUCUGGAACUGCUCUGGCACUGCUCUUGCACUGCUCUUGCACUACUCUGGAACUGCUCUGGCACUGCUCUUGCACUGCUCGAGUACACUGCUCUGGCACUGCUCCUUAGUACCUGAAUGUACCAGAUACAACUCCAAAAUGCAAGAAUGCAUGCUAUGCUAAUGUAGAAUACUCUAAGUACGCAAAGUGAUGCAAAAUGACUACAAAUGACAGUAAAUAAGAGUGAAUACUAAGCUAAAUGCAUAGCAAAUGUAUGCUAAAAAGAGGUAAAAUACAGAGAUAUCAACUCCCCCAAACUUAGCUUUUGCUUGCCCUCAAGCAAACAAAUAGAACUAAGCUGGAGAAGAGGUUUGAAGGUGGGGAUUCAGAACCAAAACAUGCAUAUAAAGUAAGUGAAUUCAAUGUCCAGGUUGCUAAUUCUAGGAUGCAAGGUUGACUGAUCUCUACUUUAAAACUUUAGCCAUCUCCUUCACAUCUCAACCUAACUUCUGCCUUAAUCAAUUCAAGCAAUCACCUCAGCACAUUCCCUUUAACAUUGAUUAAGUGAGAACCGUGGAUCAUACAAUGCAAUGGAUAUGAACUCAUUUGGUUUAAGGGUAUAGGUCAAGAGACAAAGAUGGUCCCUUAAAGAUCUGGUUUAAAUCGUAACAUGGGAUCUCUCAAGAAUGAUUGAGCUUUAGUAGAAUGCUAAAGGUGAGUUCCAAGUUAUGCAUACAAGGAUAAGACCCCAUCUACCCAGAAUGUAAUCAAUAUCAAUCCAAAUGGAAAUCCUAUUUCUAAUCCCAGAACAUGAACUUAAACUCUACCCUUUUGCAUUCAAAGCAUUUCCAGACUCUUACUCAAAUCAUUCUCUUCUUUACCUUGCUUUCUAUCUUAGGAGAAGCUUUCUUUUUCUUUGCUCUGUCUAGCGGAUUAGGAUUUCUUUAACAACUAGGGUUCCUUUUUCUUUCUUCUUAUAACACCAGGCUUUUUGGCCUUUCUCUUUAAGCUAUUACAGAACCCUUUUCUUUACUUUAACACUCCCAAAUCCUUUACUAGACUUUAUUUUACUUUAGCUACUUCUCUUAAGGACUCAUUUCCCUUUUCUUUUCUUUCAGUGAUGAACACAACCUUUUCUUUCUUUUAAGCACAACCCAAACCCAGAAUUAAGCACCCACCUAGUCCUAUCUGGUCCAGAUAACGUGAACCAGAACUACAUGAGAUACUAUCCUUGUCGGUACAGACCUAACACUUUCUACCAAGCUCAAUCGAAAUAAGGCCUCACAGUCACACACAAAUGAUAAAUGGCUUGAAAGAAGGUUAAGUCUUAAGGUAGGGAAUAACUGCUCCAAAGAUGGGAGUCAGCUACUUGGACUAGCAAGAGUGAUCAAAAGGUAAAAGAAAGUCCAAGUAUUUUAAGGUAUCCAUGAGUUUAUAGCACAAUGCACAACAUGAUAAUUAUAAGUCAAAAUUCAGGUUCAAAUUGAUAGGGAAAUGCAUCAGAUCAAAGCGAGAUUCGACUAAGAACAAGAAAAUCAAGCGUUGAAUUCAAAAGAUGGUGCGGUCUUACUUCAAGUUCAGUCGAUUAUGCAUUAGAGAACUAACAACCAGGGCACUGAGUUCUACUUAGUGAAUAAGCAUAUUUACAAGGUUAUAAUCAUCAUAAUCUCCAAUGCAAAUGCAUGAUGCAACAGCCCUAAGUGAAAGCAUACUAAAACAACCCUAAAAUGACAAUGCAAGCUAUAUGAACACUCUGUUUUUGUGAAAUCAUUUUCAGAAAUUUUUCAAAUUUUUUUGGUUUUUUCUAUGCCUUAGAUGCAAUGCAGAUUAUAUGAUGCAAAAUUUGAAAUAAGAACAGAAAACACAAUGUCAAAUACUCCCUGAGCCCUCCCCCAAACUUAAAUUACACAGUCCUCUGUGUAACAAAAGCUUGGAAGAGAGUACUCAGGGCAAACCAAUAGAUAAACAAAAUGAAAGAUGAUAUAAACAAUGGUGAAGUAGAGUUGUUACCUGGUCUAAGUAAAGAAAGCAGAGACGUAGUGAUCCAUGCUCUCACUCGUGUAGCUCCAAGGUACUGGCUGGGAUGCUCUUGGAACAGUGGGCUCGGGUUGCUGCUCAGGAGUGUGCUCGGGUGGUGUACUCGAGUACAGUACUCGAGUACUGUAGCGUUUCUGCAAAAAAUUUCUGAGCUUUUCCUGAACCAAAACCUUCCUCUUUUUGCCUGUAAAUCAAAAACACUAAAGAAACACAUUAAAAAUAACAAGAAAUAAAGCAUUAUUUACAGAGAUAAACAUGGGAAUUCCUCCCAAGUGAGCUUGUUUAAAGUCUUUAGCUUGACUUCUCACACUGAAUAAGCUUAGGGUGGGUUGUAGAGAGGAAGUGAGGUCUCCUCUGUCAUGCGGGUGGAUGAAUCAUCAAACUUAGCAUGCUCGCUUGACAAAUCUGUAGUUGAGUACUCAAUGGCCCUUUUCUCAUAGUAAGCUUCUUGUUGAGCAACUGGAUAGUCUUCUGCUAUAGACCAUUCUGAAGUGAAUUCACUCCCCUUUGCGCUGACCAGAGUGGAUGCUUCAUCAGUUGGGACGUCCUUGAUUGGGAGUGGUACUUGGUUGGCUAUCCCAUGGAGCUUUUUGAUUUGAUCCUUCAGCUCUCUCACAGUGCCUGUUAGCUCCCUUAUGGCUUUAUCCUGCCAUUUGGACCUCUCCUUGAGUUCUAACCAGCCAUCUGGAGCAGAAUUGCUAGACUCUAGCAGCUUAUCAAGAUGUUUGGUCGAGCUAGAGUUCUCCAGACUAGUUGAGGGCUUGCUCAAGUGUAUACUCGAGUAAGUUGGUUGAGCAUGUGUUGAGCUUGCUUCAUAUGCCACCUUAACCUCUGCUUUUGAUUCAAUCAAGCCUUUAAAGACCUCUGACCCUGCUACUUCCUUGUGUGAGUCUAGUGACUUACCACAUCUCAAGGUUUCAGUGAGAAGAUAUCCUGCUUCACCACUCUUAGUCAAAGAAGUUUUUUGGUGAUCUUCCUCAGCAACCUCCUCUAGCUGUUCAUCAGCUAGGCAAUCCAUUACCUUAACUACGAAAGUCUGUCCUUCAAUUGUUGGCUUCCUCGUGGCAUCAUUGAUGUCAAACUUCAUUGUUAAAUCAUUUCCCAGAUUAAGAUCAAUCUUCCCAUUCUUAACAUCAAUGACAGCUCCAGCAGUGGCUAAGAAGGGCCUUCCUAAGAUUAAAGGAUCUUUUGGUUCAUCCAUUUCUAGCACUAUGAAGUCUGUAGGGAUUUCAGCAUUUCCAAUCUUAAUAGGCAAAUCUUCUAAUAACCCAUGAGGAAAUCUGAUAGACUCAUCAGCCAGGAUCAAGGAGAUGUUGCAAGGUUUAUAUUUGUUGAAACCCAGUCUCUUGGCCACGGAGAGAGGCAUGAGACUUUUAAAAGCACCUAGAUCGCAGAGGCAGUUACUGAAGGCAAAAGUGCCUAGAGAGCAAGGUAGAGUAAACGAACCAGGAUCUCCCAAUUUCUUGGGAAUAAUCUUCGUUUGGAUGAUUUCACUGCACUCAUGACUCUCCAUCCCUUGCACUUCCUUAAUUCUCUCCAUUACCAUGUCUUUGAAGAACUUGUGAGAAUCCGGAAUUAGCAUGAAAGCAUCAAUGAGAGGCAUCCUUAAUUCAAUCUCCUUGAUGUGUUUAGCAAACAUGGCUCUGUACUUCUCAAUGAUAUCCCUCUUGAAUCUUCCUGGGAAUGGUAUUUUGGGCUUGUAGGGUGGUGGGAUAAAAGCUUUCUUCUUACUCUUAUCAACAACUCGUUCUUUGAUCUGGGGGCUUUUAGCUUGAUCACUAGGUACAGUCUCUUGGUCUAGCUUAGUGGUGUCUUCUACUUGAGUUUCAUGCUGAAUGAAAUCCUCCCCCUCUUGAAUCUCACUGUCCUCAGUGACAGGAGCUAUGCUAGGUCGAGUUUGCAGCUCUCGAUGAUAUAAGAUGAAUAGCAUUAACAUGACCUUUCUGAUGCUGAAUAGCUUUCCCUGGCAGUUGCCCUGGAUUCUGAGGUGCAGAAGUAGAGGCAACUUGGCUCUCCAUGUACUUAAUCCUGGAGUUUAGAGCCUCAAUCUUGACAUGUAGAUCAUUGUAGGAGCAGUCAACUUUGUUUUGAAUCUCAGCCAUCUUCUUAUCACCAGCUGCUUGGCCGUGUAGAAGCUGUUGAAGCAUUUGCUUCAUGUCUUGAUCUUGUGCAGGUGGAGCUGGCUGGGGUUGCUGUGCAAAACCGGGUGGUGGAUUAUAUUGUUGAUAACCGCCACUAAACUGCUGCUUUGGGACAAAGCCUUGAUUGUAUGGUAUGAAUGGCUUGGACUGGUUCUGUUGUUGCUGAGGGUAAACCUGAUCCUGAGGGUUUGCAACAUUCGUGCUCCGGUAAGAUAGAUUUGGAUGAGCAUGCUGGUAGGGGUUGUAGCCCUUGUUGUAGCCACCUUGGUUCUGAAUAUAGCUGACUUCUGCAGCCUGAUUGUUCUCCCCCUCUUGGAUUUGAUAGUGCUCUUCUUCAGUGAGAUAGUGGACUGGUUUCUGGUUAGUAAGCAGAAAUUUAUCCAGCUUGUCGUUGAGAGCCUGAACCAUCUCCUUAGUAUGCUUUGCAUCCGGAUCUCCAAUACCUCUGUUGGAGCGAUCAAAAUCCUCGUUAUAGUUACCAUCAGAUAGAGCUAAGUUCUCUAUCAAUUCCCAGCCUUCCUCAACAUCCUUAUUCAAGAAAUUCCCAUUAGAGGCAGUGUCUAGUAACAUUCUGAUCUUGGGCAAAACUCCCCUGUAGAGUGUGCUGAGUAGUGAAGCCUUCUUGAAACCAUGGUGUGGACACUGUAUAGUGUAGCCUUUGAAUCUCUCCCAGGCCUCACAAAUGGAUUCAGACUGCUUUUGUGAAAAACUGGAGAUUUCAUUCCGUAGACGUGCUGUUCUUGAAUUGGAGAAGAACUUUGUUAAGAAUGCCUUCUUGCAAUCAUCCCAAGAUGUGAUGGAGCCAGCAGGUAGUGUCUUCUCCCAGUUGUGUGCUUUGUCUCCCAGCGAGAAGGGAAACAGACGCAGCUUGAAGCUGUCUUCACUAACACCAUUGAUCUUGGUGAGGCUGCAGAGCCUAUCAAAAUUAUCCAAGUGAUCCAAGGGGUCUUCCAGAGGCAACCCAUGAAACUUGUUACCUUGAAUCAUUGAGAUCAAUCCACUCUUGAUCUCGAAAUUGUUGUUCUGGACAGGUGGUGGAACGAUGCCCUGUCUCUGUUGAUGGUUGCGUGGUGCAUCACCAUCACCAAUGUUCCUUGGUAUCCCAACUCCCUGAUUGUCUUGAUCUUGUUCGUCCAUAGCAGCUGGAUUGUGCUGUUCACAACCGUCUCUGUCUCUACGCUCUCUCAACUCACGAGCUAAACGAUUGAUGUUGUCUCUGUAGCUGAUGAGAUUGUCAGAACCUUUGGAACGAGUUUGCAUGCACGUGUUGAGUUGGUACUCGAGCUAGUGCUUGGAACACAAAAAACAAGCAGUUGAAGAGAGUAGUUAGUAACCAAAGUAAAGAAAGAACUUGAUCUUAGCAAUUCUAAAAUCUUGAAUGUAACAAGCAGACACCCAAAUGGCAACGGCGCCAAAUUGAUACUAGGAUUUUACUAUCAAUUACCCUAAUAUACUUUCAUGUCAUUGCAGUAUAAGAGGUUAUCAAUCCAAUCAGGUGCUCUUACUAUCAAUCAAGAUGUGAUCAGAGAAUACUAAGUCAAGCCAAGCAGAAUAUUGUUUUGUUAUCUAGCAAUACUAAGCGAUCAUGCAUAAGCGAUAAAACUACAGAACAGGAGUGAUCAUGCAUAAAGAGAAAGAACUAUCAAUACUAAGCAGCAAUAAGUAACAGGUAAAGAGACAAGUAAAUCAAAUGAGAUAAAAGGUCCUGAGGAUAGGGUAAUUGAUUAUAGCAGUCUCCUUAAUCUACUUAGGCGGUUAACAAUCCAAACAGGCUAUCCCUAGACAAUAGAUUCAACUACAGACCAAUUCACUCUCAUGACAGAGAUCCUCAAGCAAUACCAGUUCCAGACCUAAUCAUCAUUAGCGAAAUCUAGCAAAGCAGGCAAUAAGAUUCAAUCUAAUAUAGUCAAUAAACAUUCUAAACAUCCAAUCUCUUGGGCUAGAGUAUGUAAAUCUCUGGAGUAGUUGGUUCAGACAUUUCAUCGAACACCUGGUGGGUGUGGAAAUGUCUGGGUUCAAAUCCCAGUUGAUCAGAAAGGAAUAAGCACUAAGUACUACUAAUCCAGAAGGGAUUCAAGCAAUUCUACACUUAACCACCUAAAUAAACUAAGGAUUCCACACCUAAUCUAUCCCAUCCUCAAGAACCCUAAUCCACUACUCAGACAUGCUCAAGAACACAAACCCAGAAAAUUGCACAAACCCAGAAAUCGCUAAAAACAUCAUAUGUUAUAGAUCAGAGCAAGAUAAACAACUUUGCAGAAGGAAAUUAUUGCAAAAACUCAAAGGAUCAAAAGUAAUUUGGAUUACAAAAGUUUGCAGAAAUAUUGUUCAGAGGAUAAAAACGAGAUCCUUUGGGCAAAGCCCUAAGAGGUCUAUUUAUAGCAAAAGAAGAAAACCCUAGUACACAAAACGACAAAAUAGAAAGUCGGUUUAGGGUCUACUCGAGCUGGUACUCGAGUGGCUUGGUCGAGGAGUCCAUUCUUCAAAGGUUGCAUCUUGCUCGGGUAAGUCUCUCAGGUCCAGUUCGAGUAGCCUGUUCGAGUAGGUUGGUUGAGUAUGUCUUGGUCUUCUCUUCAGAAAUCUGCUCGAGUACACUGCUCUGGCUCUGCUCGAGUACACUGCUCGAGUACACUACUCUGGAACUGCUCUGGCACUGCUCUUGCACUGCUCUUGCUCUGCUCUGGCUCUGCUCGAGUACACUGCUCGAGUACACUACUCUGGAACUGCUCUGGCACUGCUCUUGCACUGCUCGAGUACACUGCUCUGGCACUGCUCCUUAGUACCUGAAUGUACCAGAUACAACUCCAAAAUGCAAGAAUGCAUGCUAUGCUAAUGUAGAAUACUCUAAGUAUGCAAAGUGAUGCAAAAUGACUCAAACUAAGAGUUAAAGACAUGAAACAAGGAUGAAACUAGACUAAAUGAGAUGUAAAUGCAUGGUAAAAACUAGCAAAAUACAGACAUAUCAACUCCCCCAAACUUAUUCUUUGCUUGCCCUCAAGCAAACAGUAAAGAUCAAGCUGGAGGAGAGGUUUGAAAGAGGAGACUCAGAACCAAAACAUGCAUAUAAAGUAAGUGAAUUCAAUGUCCAGGUUGCUAAUUCUAGAAUGCAAGGUUGACUGAUCUCUACUUUAAAACUUUAGCCAUCUCCUUCACAUCUCAACCUAACUUCUGCCUUAAUCAAUUCAAGCAAUCACCUCAGCACAUUCCCUUUAACAUUGAUUAAGUGAGAACAGUGGACCAUACAAUGCAAUGGAUAUGAAGUCAUUUGGUUUAAGGGUAGAGGUCAAGAGACAAAGAUGGUCCCUUAAAGAUCUGGUUCAGGCUAUCCCUAGACAAUAGAUUCAACUACAGAUCAAUCCACUCUCGUGACAGAGAUCCUCAAGUUAUGCAUACAAGGAUAAGACCCCAUCUACCCAGAAUGUAAUCAAUAUCAAUCCAAAUGGAAAUCCUAUUUCUAAUAAACAUUCUAAACAUCCAAUCUCUUGGGCUAGAGUAUGUAAAUCUCUGGAGUAGUUGGUUCAGACAUUUCAUCGAACACCUGGUGGGUGUGGAAAUGUCUAGGUUCAAAUCCCAGUUGAUCAGAAAGGAAUAAGCACUAAGUACUACUAAUCCAGAAGGGAUUCAAGCAAUUCUACACUUAACCACCUAAAUAAACUAAGGAUUCCACACCUAAUCUAUCCCAUCCUCAGGAACCCUAAUCCACUACUCAGACAUGCUCAAGAACACAAACCCAGAAAAUUGCACAAACCCAGAAAUCGCUAAAAACAUCAUAUGUUAUAGAUCAAAGCAAGAUAAACAACUUUGCAGAAGGAAAUUAUUGCAAAAACUCAAAGGAUCAAAAGUAAUUUUGAUUACAAAAGUUUGCAGAAAUAUUGUUCAGAGGAUAAAAACGAGAUCCUUUGGGCAAAGCCCUCAGAGGUCUAUUUAUAGCAAAAGUAGAAAACCCUAGUACACAAAACGACAAAAUAGAAAGUCGGUUUAGGGUCUACUCGAACACGAGCUCGAGUGGUUUUGUCGAGUAGACCAUUCUUCAAAGUUUGCAACUUGCUCGAGUGAAGCUCUCAGGUGAACUCGAGUAGGAUACUCGAGUACCUACUCGAGUAGGAUGUGGUCUCUCUGCAGCUGCUCUGGCACUGCUCUGGCUCUACUCGAGUACACUGCUCUGGCUCUGUUCGAGUACACUGCUCGAGUACACUAGUCUGGAACUGCUCUGGCACUGCUCUGGCUCUGCUCGAGUACACUGCUCUGGCUCUGUUCGAGUACACUGCUCGAGUACACUAGUCUGGAACUGCUCUGGCACUGCUCUGGCUCUGCUGGAGUACACUACUCUGGAACUGCUCUGCACACCUCCUUAGUACCUGAAUGUACCUGAUACAACUCCAAAAUGCAAGAAUGCAUGCUAUGCUAAUGUAGAAUACUCUAAGUAUGCAAAGUGAUGCAAAAUGACUACAAAGGACAGUAAAUAAGAGUGAAUACUAAGCUAAAUGCAUAGCAAAUAUAUGCUAAAAAGAGGUAAAAUACAGAGAUAUCAACUCCCCCAAACUUAGCUUUUGCUUGCCCUCAAGCAAACAAAUAGAACUAAGCUGGAGAAGAGGUUUGAAGGUGGGGAUUCCGAACCAAAACAUGCAUAUAGAGUAAGUGAAUUCAAUGUCCAGGUUGCUAAUUCUAGAAUGCAAGGUUGACUGAUCCCUACUUAAAAACAUUAGCCAUCUCCUUCACAUCUCAACCUAACCUCUGCCUUAAUCAAUUCAAGCAUUCAAAUCAGCACAUUCCCUUUAACAUUGAUUAAGUAGGAACCGUGAAUCAUACUAUGCAUUGGAUAAGAACACAUUUGGCUUAAGGGUAGAGGUCUAGAGACAAAGAUGGUCCCUUAAAGAUCUGGUUUAAAUCGCAACAGGGGAUCUCUCAAGAAUGAUUGAGCUUUAGUAGAAUGCUAAAGGUGAGUUCCAAGUUAUGCAUACAAGGAUAAGACCCCAUCUACCCAGAAUGUAAUCAAUCUCAAUCCAAAUGGAAGUCCUAUUUCUAAUCCCAGAACAUGAACUUAACUCUACCCUUUUGCAUUCAAAGCAUUUCUAUCUUAGGAGAAGCUUUCUUUUUCUUUGCUCUAUCUAGCGGAUUAGGAUUUCUUUAACAACUAGGGUUCCUUUUUCUUUCUUCUUAUAACACAAGGCUUUUUGGCCUUUCUCUUUAAGCUAUUACAGAACCCUUUUCUUUACUUUAACACUCCCAAAUCCUUUACUAGACUUUAUUUUACUUUAGCUACUUCUCUUAAGGACUCAUUUCCCUUUUCUUUUCUUUCAGUGAUGAACACAACCUUUUCUUUUCUUUUAAGCACAACCCAAACCCAGAAUUAAGCACCCACCUAGUCCUAUCUAGUCCAGAUAACGUGAACUAGAACUACAUGAGAUACUAUCCUUGUCGGUACAGACCUAACACUUUCUACCAAGCUCAAUCGAAAUAAGGCCUCACAGUCACACACAAAUGAUAAAUGGCUUGAAAGAAGGUUAAGGUUUAGGGUAGGGAAUAACUGCUCCAAAGAUGGGAGUCAGCUACUUGGACUAGCAAGAGGGAUCAAAAAGUAAAAGAAAGUCCAAGUAUUUUAAGGUAUCCAUGAGUUCAUAAAACAAUGCAUAGUAUGAUAAUUGCAAGUCAAAAUUCAGGUUCAAAUUGAUAGGGAAAGGCAUCAGAUCAAAGCGAGUUUCAACUAAGAACAAGAAAAUCAAGCGUUGAAUUCAAAAGAUGGUGCGGUCUUACUUCAAGUUCAGUCGAUUAUGCAUUAGAGAACUAACAACCUGGGCACUGAGUUCUACUUAGUGAAUAAGCAUAUUUACAAGGUUAUAAUCAUCAUAAUCUCCAAUGCAAAUGCAUGAUGCAACAGCCCUAAGUGAAAGCAUACUAAAACAACCCUAAAAUGACAAUGCAAGCUAUAUGAACACUCUGUUUUUGUGAAAUCAUUUUCAGAAAUUUUUCAAAUUUUUUGGUUUUUUCUAUGCCUUAGAUGCAAUGCAGAUUAUAUGAUGCAAAAUUUGAAAUAAGAACAGAAAACACAAUGUCAAAUACUCCCUGAGCCCUCCCCCAAACUUAAAUUACACAGUCCUCUGUGUAACAAAAGCUUGGAAGAGAGUACUCAAGGCAAACCAAUAGAUAAACAAGAUGAAAGAUGAUAUAAACAAUGGUGAAGUAGAGUUGUUACCUGGUCUAAGUAAAGAAAGCAGAGACGUAGUCAUCCAUGCUCUCACUUGUGUAGCUCCAAGGUACUGGCUGGGAUGAGGUCGGGACAGUGUGCUCGGGUAUCUGCUCGAGUGGUGUACUCGAGUACAGUACUCGAGUACUGUAGCGUUUCUGCAAAAAAUUUCUGAGCUUUUCCUGAACCAAAACCUUCCUCUUUUUGCCUGUAAUUCAAAAACACUAAAGAAACACAUUAAAAAUAACAAGAAAUAAAGCAUUAUUUACAGAGAUAAACAUGGGAAUUCCUCCCAAGUGAGCUUGUUUAAAGUCUUUAGCUUGACUUCUCACACUGAAUAAGCUUAGGGUGGGUUGUAGAGAGGAAGUGAGGUCUCCUCUGUCAUGCGGGUGGAUGAAUCAUCAAACUUAGCAUGCUCGCUUGACAAAUCUGUAGUUGAGUACUCAAUGGCCCUUUUCUCAUAGUAAGCUUCCUGUUGAUCAACUGGAUAGUCUUUUUCUAUAGACCAUUCUGAAGUGAAUUCACUCCUCUUUUUACUGACCAGAGUAGAUGCUUCAUCAUUUGGGACAUCCUUGAUUUGGAGUGGUACUUGGUUGGCGUUCCCAUGGAGCUCCUUGAUUUGACCCUUUAGCUCUCUCACAGUGUCAGUUAGCUCCCUUAUGGCUUUAUCCUGCCAUUUAGACCUCCUUUUGAGUUCUAACCAGCCAUCUGGCGCAGAAUUGCUAGACUCUAGCAGCUUAUCAAGAUGUUUGGUCGAGCUAGAGUUCUCCAGACUAGUUGAGGGCUUGCUCAAGUGUAUACUCGAGUAAGUUGGUUGAGCAUGUGUUGAGCUUGCUUCAUAUGCCACCUUAACCUCUGUUUUUGACCCAAUCAAGCCUUUAAAGACCUCUGACCCUACUACUUCUUUGUGUGAAUCUAGUGACUUACCACAGCUCAAGGUUUCAGUGAGAAGAUAUCCUGCUUCACCACUCUUAGUCAAAGAAGUUUGUUGGUGAUCUUCCUCAGCAAUCUCCUCUAGCUGUUCAUCAGCUAGGCAAUCCAUUACCUUAACUACGAAGGUCUGUCCUUCAAUUGUUGGCUUCCUCGUGGCAUCAUUGAUGUCAAACUUCAUUUUGAAAUCAUUUCCCAGAUUAAGAUCAAUCUUCCCAUUCUUAACAUCAAUGACAGCUCCAGCAGUGGCUAAGAAGGGCCUUACUAAAAUUAAAGGAUCUUUUGGUUCAUCCAUUUCUAGCACUAUGAAGUCUGUAGGGAUUUCAGCAUUUCCAAUCUUAAUAGGCAAAUCUUCUAAUAACCCAUGAGGAAAUCUGAUAGACUCACCAGCCAGGAUCAAGGAGAUGUUGCAAGGUUUAUAUUUGUUGAAACCCAGUCUCUUGGCCACGGAGAGAGGCAUGAGACUUUUAAAAGCACCUAGAUCGCAGAGGCAGUUACUGAAGGCUAAUGUGCCUAGAGAGCAAGGUAGAGUAAACGAACCAGGAUCUCCCAAUUUCUUGGGAAUAAUCUUCGUUUGGAUGAUUUCACUGCACUCAUGACUCUCCAUCCCUUGCACUUCCUUAAUUCUCUCCAUUACCAUGUCUUUAAAGAACUUGUGAGAAUCCGGAAUAAGCAUGAAAGCAUCAAUGAGAGGCAUCCUUAAUUCAAUCUCCUUGAUGUGUUUAGCAAACAUGGCUCUGUACUUCUCAAUGAUAUCCCUCUUGAAUCUUCCUGGGAAUGGUAUUUUGGGCUUGUAGGGUGGUGGAACGAAAGCUUUCUUCUUACUCUUAUCAACAACUGGUUCUUUGAUCUGGGGGCUUUUAGCUUGAUCACGAGGUACAGUCUCUUGGUCUAGCUUAGUGGUGUCUUCUACUUGAGUUUCAUGCUGAAUGAAAUCCUCCCCCUCUUGAAUCUCACUGUCCUCAGUGACAGGAGCUAUGCUAGGUCGAGUUUGCAGCUCUCGACCACUGCGAAGGUGAAUAGCAUUAACAUGACCUUUCUGAUGCUGAAUAGCUUUUCCUGGCAGUUGCCCUAGAUUCUGAGGCGCAGAAGUAGAGGCAACUUGGCUCUCCAUGUACUUAAUCCUGGAGUUUAGAGCCUCAAUCUUGACAUGUAGAUCAUUGUAGGAGCAGUUGAUAUAAGAUUGGAAUCCACCAAAUCUUAUUGAUCACAAGAUGUCAAGAGUUGAAAAGCUUUCACGCGGAAAUGGGCGUUGGUAGAGAUGGAGAUGGAGUUUGCGAUUGAUUCCACAAUCACACACGAACAAGAAGACUUGAUUCCACAAGUAAUCUGAUCCGUAAUCAAUAGAAAAGAAGUGAUUCCACACUUAGAUUCUAAAGAAAAGAACAAGAACAAUUCAAAGACUCUCUUUGAAAGAAAACAAACUUUUAUUAAAUCAAUGAUAAUGGGUGCCAUACAAUGAAUUCAAGACUGAGCUUUUAUAGGCUCAUAAACAACAGUCUAAAGAAGCUAAUUGAGGGAAAUAAUCGAAAAAUAUAAAGAAUAUGGCCGUUGGAGCUUUGAUGACGAAAUCGGCCAAAUAAGGAAAUGUCUUGAGCUUUGUAUCUAGAGAGCUUGGGAAGAAAGGUGAGACUUCUUGGAACAUUCUGGGACGUGUGGAGAGUCUUCAAAACGCAGCAUCUUUGGUAGAUAAAGAGCCGUUGGUGGUUUAAAGCUCCUAGUGUGAAUGCGUCCAGAAAAGGAAAGUAGAAUUGUGAAAGGAUCCGCCUGAUCCUAUGGGUUCUGGUGCAUGGGAAGAAUUCUUCUAGAUGUCUAAGAGUCUCUCCUGGUCGCCAAUGAUAGUUUUGGAGUGAACCAAAUAUGGAAUGAUCCAUUUUUGGCAACAUAUGGCCCGCGGGUAAGGCCAAAUGAGUAACUCAUAAAACAACUCGAACCCGGGGUGAUUUAGCUCGCCCAUUCUUCAUAAAAUGUGCAUAAUAAUGGUGAAUGUCAAAUCUAGGUCGAGGAAAUGUGACGUUGGGUCGAUGAUAUUGUAGUUGGCUUGAUCCGGGUGGGUCUUCUUGGCGCUCGAGUUGAUUGGUUCGAUAGUUUUUGAUUCCGUCUCGCCCAAAUGUCUUGAAAUAUGUAACUUGAUGGUGAAUAUUCAAUAUGGGUCGGGAAAAGUCUUGAUCCGGUCGGUGGAUUUGAGUUUUGUGUGCUCCGGGUGAGUCAUUGUGGACCAACUUCAUUUCGGCAUGGUGAUUUAUGAUUCCAGCUGAAUCACUACUCUUCUUAGGAUAUAUUUCUUUGUAAAUUUCCAAUCCUAGGCCAGGUGCUUGAUCAGAACUUGAUUUGCGCCAAAAUUCUCCUUUUUGGUCCGGUUUGGUUUGGUUGAGGAUUGAACCGGCUGGUCUAUUUAACUCCGGAUCUGGUUUGGUUCCGAUGUCCACAUCAUACCCUCCCUCUUCAAAAAGUUUUGACCUCAAAACUGUUUCACCUGCACCAAGAGAAAACAAGUUAGGUUUCAUUCGCUUUUGUGAGUUUAGAUAGUUACCUCGGCUUUGAUUCGUUGGACAAUGUUGGGAUGAGUCGGGUGGUUUAUCCUUGUUUAUAAUGUGACAUUUAAAAACAUUUUCUUGAUGCUGGGACAAAUUUGUAUCCUUCUUCGUGAAAUCUCCUAUUCCACUCUUUAUUUCUCCAUGAAGUUCUCCUUGAAUCUUGAUAUGUUGAGGUGAAUCCGGUGGCUCCUCUUUGACCAGUACAGUGUCAAUGACACGUCUAGCAUAUCCUUUUGUUGGCGUGAGCAAAACUGACUCCAUAAUGCCUUGGUUAUGUUGUUCACUUGAGACUACGAUUUCUUUUGAUGGUACAUCUCCUUGGUAAUAGCAUUUCACCAUUGUACCUGCACCUCUAUAGACACUAAAAGGCAAGAACAAGUGCAUUAUACUUGAAAUUGAAAUUUUAAAAACAUAGAAUUGGAGACUACGAAUUAAUAUGAAAUGAUUCCCGUAUUUAUCAAAGUCUUGAAUCACACUUACUUGGAAGAUAUGGCAAUGAUUAUGCACGAAUUUCAUCUUAAUAAAAGCCUCUUUUUGGUUGAUAAAGCUCUGUUCUAGACCGUGGGGUGGUGGUUGUUCCUCUAGGAUAGCUUGGUUACCUUCGGCUUCUCGAAAACUUUGUUGUGACAAUGCUCUCGAGUGGUUCUCUUCCUUACCUAUACCUUUGUCAACUUCUUUUUGACAAAACAAGUGUAUUAUCAUAGAAUUUAAAGGUUUAAAAUCAGAAAGAUUCGGGUGAAGACUUACCUUCGGGAUAAUUUCAUGUUUUGUUUCCUUAGACAACAUGGUGUGUCGAUCUUGCUUUUGAUCCGUGGUAAAGACUUCUAUUUCUGGUUCUUUUCUUUCAACCAUGUAUUCCUCCUUAGUUUCUGGACCUGUUUCAAUUCCCUUGGACAAAGACAAGUGCAUGAUACUAGUAUUUAAAAUUUUUAAAUCUGUUUCAACUAGUUUUUCUUUUACCUUGGGAUUUUCUGUUUUUGGCUCCAUGAGGGUUACUACUCGUCUAGUUGGGCACUCCUUUGCUUUGUGUCCUCUGUUUUGACAUCGAUAACAAGUCACUUCAAAUAAAUUCAAAGUACUAGAAGACUUACCUUGAUUCGUUUUGCCUUGUGGUUCACAUAAAGACGUGAUGAUUGAGUUUUGUUGAAUCUCCUUCACUUGUACAGGUUUCUUAGCCUCUGAUUUCUUUGAUAAAGUGUUUGGGAACACUUUUAUUGGCUCAGGGAGAGGGAAAGCAUUCUUGUUCACCACUUUGGAGCUCGACUUUUGUUGAUUCUGCCUCUUUGAAUUCGUUGGUGUUACACCUUUGUCAUUGUGGUGAGCUUGGGCAGAAGCGUUCUUCACAAAUUCACCAUACAUGAGCUUUCUCAUCUCCUUCCAAGAGUAAGCUAGAUCCUUGAAGUGAAUACGUGUAGUCUCUAUCUCAUCCCACCAAUCAUAAGCUCCUCCGGUUAAAGCAUCUUCCGCAUAGGAUGUUUUCUUUUUCUCCGGGACGUGGUACCUUUCAAACCAGUCCAUUAAGGCUGCUUCCCACCGUAGGUAUGCUUCUGGUCCCUCCUUAUGACCUGAAAAAGUUAAAGGGUCUGAGCUAAUUUUCCCUCUCUUGCUAAGGUAGUUGUCUCUCGUCUUUGGUCGAGGUGAAAUUGAUGGAACUCGGUGUGACAAAAUUGUUUGGAGAGACUUCUCUUCACGAUGUGGGGAAUGGUAGUGUUGAUCCUCAUGGUAAUAUCCCUCACAGUCCUCAUAAUACCCUAAACUUGGUUGGCUCCAUUUGGUCGUUGCUUGAGGCAUGUAAGUGUAAGGCUCGACACGUUGACUAGAUGGAUAACAAUCAGGUGGCUCCGGCUCCAGUUCUUCACCAUCAGGUUCUUCUCCACAAUCAGAACUGGAAACACAUUCCUCAUACCACGUUUGUCUCCCAUAGUCAUUCUCCUCUUCUAUCAUGUCUUCGUACUCAUCCUCGUCUUGGUUCCAAUCACCUUCAUAGGAGUCAAUCUCUUCUUUCUCCAUAUAAUAGGACGCCAUUGCUCUGGUCCUUCUUAUUCGUUUGUCCUAAAACAAAGAAGAAGAAAGUGUAUCAACCUUUAGAUCAACAAAUAUGGCAAGAAAGAGUCAAGACACAAAAAUUAUGGAAAUUUGAUAUUUCUUUUUACUUUUAAAAAUAAAAUCGAAAAAUUCAAACAACAAAAGGAAAAAAAAUGAUUUAUAUUUUCUUUUUUUUUUUGAUUUAAUAAAAUAAAUUACGAAAAUUAAUUUAAAAUAAACAAGAAAGACAAUUUUUAUUGGAUUUUUCUUUUAAACCGAAAUUAAAAAUAAAUAAAAAAAAGAACACAAAUAAUAUUUUUUUUUUUUUGUUUUUAAAAUGAUACUGAAACAAAUUCAAAACACAAAAACAAAAGGAAGAAACAAAUUUUUAUUUUGGUUUUUGACUUAAUAAAAAUUAAAACAACAAAAACUGAAAAAUCGAAAAGAUAAAGGUUGGAUGAACACAACCUGGAUUUGAUAGGAGCUUUGAGCUCUGAUACCAGAUGAUAUAAGAUUGGAAUCCACCAAAUCUUAUUGAUCACAAGAUGUCAAGAGUUGAAAAGCUUUCACGCGGAAAUGGGCGUUGGUAGAGAUGGAGAUGGAGUUUGCGAUUGAUUCCACAAUCACACACGAACAAGAAGACUUGAUUCCACAAGUAAUCUGAUCCGUAAUCAAUAGAAAAGAAGUGAUUCCACACUUAGAUUCUAAAGAAAAGAACAAGAACAAUUCAAAGACUCUCUUUGAAAGAAAACAAACUUUUAUUAAAUCAAUGAUAAUGGGUGCCAUACAAUGAAUUCAAGACUGAGCUUUUAUAGGCUCAUAAACAACAGUCUAAAGAAGCUAAUUGAGGGAAAUAAUCGAAAAAUAUAAAGAAUAUGGCCGUUGGAGCUUUGAUGACGAAAUCGGCCAAAUAAGGAAAUGUCUUGAGCUUUGUAUCUAGAGAGCUUGGGAAGAAAGGUGAGACUUCUUGGAACAUUCUGGGACAUGUGGAGAGUCUUCAAAACGCAGCAUCUUUGGUAGAUAAAGAGCCGUUGGUGGUUUAAAGCUCCUAGUGUGAAUGCGUCCAGAAAAGGAAAGUAGAAUUGUGAAAGGAUCCGCCUGAUCCUAUGGGUUCUGGUGCAUGGGAAGAAUUCUUCUAGAUGUCUAAGAGUCUCUCCUGGUCGCCAAUGAUAGUUUUGGAGUGAACCAAAUAUGGAAUGAUCCAUUUUUGGCAACAUAUGGCCCGCGGGUAAGGCCAAAUGAGUAACUCCUAAAACAACUCGAACCCGGGGUGAUUUAGCUCGCCCAUUCUUCAUAAAAUGUGCAUAAUAAUGGUGAAUGUCAAAUCUAGGUCGAGGAAAUGUGACGUUGGGUCGAUGAUAUUGUAGUUGGCUUGAUCCGGGUGGGUCUUCUUGGCGCUCGAGUUGAUUGGUUCGAUAGUUUUUGAUUCCGUCUCGCCCAAAUGUCUUGAAAUAUGUAACUUGAUGGUGAAUAUUCAAUAUGGGUCGGGAAAAGUCUUGAUCCGGUCGGUGGAUUUGAGUUUUGUGUGCUCCGGGUGAGUCAUUGUGGACCAACUUCAAUUCGGCAUGGUGAUUUAUGAUUCCAGCUGAAUCACUACUCUUCUUAGGAUAUAUUUCUUUGUAAAUUUCCAAUCCUAGGCCAGGUGCUUGAUCAGAACUUGAUUUGCGCCAAAAUUCUCCUUUUUGGUCCGGUUUGGUUUGGUUGAGGAUUGAACCGGCUGGUCUAUUUAACUCCGGAUCUGGUUUGGUUCCGAUGUCCACAUCAGCAGUCAACUUUGUUUUGAAUCUCAGCCAUCUUCUUAUCACCAGCUGCUUGACCUUGUAGAAGCUGCUGAAGCAUUUGCUUCAUGUCUUGAUCUUGUGCAGGUGGAGCUGGCUGGGGUUGCUGUGCAAAACCGGGUGGUGGAUUAUAUUGUUGAUAACCGCCAUUAAACUGCUGCUUUGGGACAAAGCCUUGAUUGUAUGGUAUGAAUGGCUUGGACUGGUUCUGUUGUUGCUGAGGGUAAACCUGAUCCUGAGGGUUUGCAACAUUCGUGCUCCGGUAAGAUAGAUUUGGAUGAGCAGGCGUGUAGGGGUUGUAGCCCUUGUUGUAGCCACCUUGGUUCUGAAUGUAGCUGACUUCUGCAGCCUGAGUAUUCUCCCCCUCUUGGAUUUGAUAGUGCUCUUCUUCAGUGAUAUAGUGGACUUGCUUCUGUUGAGUAAGCAGAAAUUUAUCCAGCUUAUCGUUGAGAGCCUGAAUCAUCUCCUUACUAUGCUUCGCAUCCGGAUCUCCGAUACCUCUGUUGGAGCGAUCAAAAUCUUCAUUAUAAUUACCGUUGGACUGAGCUAAGUUCUCAACCAAUUCCCAACCUUCUUCAACAUCCUUAUUCAAGAAAUUCCCAUUUGAAGCAGUGUCCAGGACCAUUCUGAACUUGGGCAGAGCUCCUCUGUAGAGUGUACUGAGCAAAGAAGCUUUCUUGAAACCGUGAUGUGGACAUUGUGUAGUGUAGCCUUUGAAUCUCUCCCAGGCCUCACAAAAGGAUUCAGACUGUUUCUGGGUGAAACUGGAGAUUUCAUUCCUUAGCCUUGCAGUUCUUGAAUUUGAGAAGAACUUUGUCAAGAAGGCCGUCUUACAAUCGUCCCAAGAUGUUAUGGAGUCAGGAGGUAGUGUCUUCUCCCAUUGGUGUGCUUUGUCUCCCAGCGAGAAGGGAAACAGACGCAGCUUGAAACCGUCUUCACUAACACCAUUUAUCUUGGUGAGGCUGCAGAGCCUGUCAAAGUUAUCCAAGUGGUCUAAGGGAUCCUCCAUAGGCAGCCCAUGAAACUUGUUUCCUUGUAUCAUUGAGAUCAAUCCACUCUUGAUCUCGAAAUUAUUGUUCUGGACAGGAGGUGGAACUAUGCCCUGUCUCUGUUGAUGGUUUCUUGGUGCAUCCCCAGCACCAAUGUUCCUUGGUAUCCCAACUCCUUGAUUGUCUUGUUCUUGUGGUUCCAUGGCUACUGGAUUGUGCAGUUCACAACCGUCUCUGGCUCUACGUUCUUUCAACUCACGGGCUAACUGGUUGAUGUUGUCUUUGUAGCUGAUGAGGUUGCUGGAGCCUUUAGAACGAGUUUGCAUACAAAGUGGUUAGUCUCGACGUGACAGGCUCGACGUGAGGUCGAGAUGGUACCAGGAGCACAAAAACAAGCAGCUGAAGAGAGUAGUUAGUAACCAAAGUAAAGAAAGAACUUGAUCUUAGCAAUUCUAAAAUCUUGAAUGUAACAAGCAGACACCCAAAUGGCAUAGGCGCCAAAUUGAUACUAGGAUUUUACUAUCAAUUACCCUAAUAUACUUUCAUGUCAUUGUAGUAUAAGAGGUUAUCAAUCCAAUCAGGUGCUCUUACUAUCAAUCAAGAUAUGCUCAGAGAUAACUAAGUCAAGCCAAGCAGAAUAUUGUUUUGUUAUCUAGCAAUACUAAGCGAACAUGCAUAAAAACGAUAAAACUACAGAACAAGAGUGAUCAUGCAUAAAGAGAAAGAACUAUCAAUACUAAGCAGCAAUAAGUAACAGGUAAGCAACAGGUAAAGAGAUAAGCAAUCAAAUGAGAUAAAAGGUCCUGAGGAUAGGGUAAUCGAUUAUAGCAGUCUCCUUAAUCUACUUAGGUGGUUAACAAUCCAAACAGGCUAUCCCUAGACAAUAGAUUCAACUACAGAUCAAUCCACUCUCGUGACAGAGAUCCUCAAGCAAUACCAGUUCCAGACCUAAUCAUCAUUAGCGAAAUCUAGCAAAGCAGGCAAUAAGAUUCAAUCUAAUAUAGUCAAUAAACAUUCUAAACAUCCAAUCUCUUGGGCUAGAGUAUGUAAAACUCUGAAGUAGUUGGUUCAGACAUUUCAUCGAACACCUGGUGGGUGUGGAAAUGUCUAGGUUCAAAUCCCAGUUGAUCAGAAAGGAAUAAGCACUAAGUACUACUAAUCCAGAAGAGAUUCAAGCAAUUCUACACUUAACCACCUAAAUAAACUAAGGAUUCCACACCUAAUCUAUCCCAUCCUCAAGAACCCUAAUCCACUACUCAGACAUGCUCAAGAACACAAACCCAGAAAAUUGCACAAACCCAGAAAUCGCUAAAAACAUCAUAUGUUAUAGAUCAAAGCAAGAUAAACAACUUUGCAGAAGGAAAUUAUUGCAAAAACUCAAAGGAUCAAAAGUAAUUUUGAUUACAAAAGUUUGCAGAAAUAUUGUUCAGAGGAUAAAAACGAGAUCCUUUGGGCAAAGCCCUCAGAGGUCUAUUUAUAGCAAAAGUAGAAAACCCUAGUACACAAAACGACAAAAUAGAAAGUCGGUUUAGGGUCUACUCGAACACGAGCUCGAGUGGUUUUGUCGAGUAGACCAUUCUUCAAAGUUUGCAACUUGCUCGAGUGAAGCUCUCAGGUGAACUCGAGUAGGAUACUCGAGUACCUACUCCAGUAGGAUGUGGUCUCUCUGCAGCUGCUCUGGCACUGCUCUGGCUCUACUCGAGUACACUGCUCUGGCUCUGUUCGAGUACACUGCUCGAGUACACUAGUCUGGAACUGCUCUGGCACUGCUCUGGCACUGCUCUGGCUCUGCUCGAGUACACUGCUCUGUCUCUGUUCGAGUACACUGCUCGAGUACACUAGUCUGGAACUGCUCUGGCACUGCUCUGGCUCUGCUGGAGUACACUACUCUGGAACUGCUCUGCACACCUCCUUAGUACCUGAAUGUACCUGAUACAACUCCAAAAUGCAAGAAUGCAUGCUAUGCUAAUGUAGAAUACUCUAAGUAUGCAAAGUGAUGCAAAAUGACUACAAAGGACAGUAAAUAAGAGUGAAUACUAAGCUAAAUGCAUAGCAAAUAUAUGCUAAAAAGAGGUAAAAUACAGAGAUAUCAGGAGCCAUUCAAACGGUCAAAUGGUCAAAAGCAAGUCAUAAAGCAACUCUUGUCUUCUUCCUCCAUUUGAAUGUGCAACGGCUACAAGAAGACUCGGGAAGGGUCCGGAGGCUUCUAGAAGCGUCUUGGAGAGGAUCCAAGGCUAAAUGGCCGAGAGAAAACAUCGCGGGCCGAGACAAAACUCCAAACGUACGGACGGACUAAAAGCUGGCCAUACUGGUGAGUAUCUUAAAUCGGUUGUGCAACCGAUCGUCAUAACCGAUCGAUAGUUAAAUGAUGCUUCGAUCGUUUGUGCAACCGAUUGACACAACCAAGCGGCAAAACCUUAUCUUACCUGAUCGGUUGUGCAACCGAUCAGCAAGACCGAUUGGAAGACAAGUUUCCCGUUUCUUCACUUCAUUCAAUACUCCCCCUCAAGUCUAACCGGAGAAGGAUGGAGGUUAGACUUGGAUCCAAAUUCAACCACCUCAUUAAAAACCUAAGUGUAGAAAACCUCAUGGGAUAAAACCACACUUAGGGAAAAAGAGUAUGGGAUAUUUGGCUAAGAGGAUCAUGGCCGAGAAAGGUCAACGAGGCCAAGUUUGUGAUGAAUGUACUCACAAACUUUGGUGCUAGCUCCUUUGGUAAAGAUGUCGGCCAAUUGUUCUUCAGUUUUGGUGUAGCAAGGUAGGAUUACUCCAAGUUGAAGUUGUUCUCGGACCUUGUGGCAAUCCACCUCAAUGUGCUUCGUUCUUUCAUGGAACACUGAAUUUGAGGCGAUGUGAAUGGCGGCUUGAUUGUCGCAAUGCAUGGUGAUUGGCUUUGGUGUGUCAAUUCCGAAGUCUUUGAGGAGAGCUUUCAACCACAUAAGUUCAGUUGUGAGCUUUCUCAUGGCCCGGUACUCGGCUUCACAACUUGAAAGGGAGACCACCUUUUGCUUCUUGCUUCUCCAAGUAACUAGGUUGCCACCAAUGAAUGUGCAAUAGCCGGUGGUUGACCUCCUAUCAUUUUUGUCUCCAGCAUAGUCCGCAUCACAAUAUCCCACCAGCUCCGUGUUUUUGUUGCAUCCCAUCCAAAUGCCUUGACCCGGAGCUCCUUUGAGAUAUUUGAGGAUGCGGUUCACCAUGUUCCAAUGAUGUAGCGUGGGAGCUUGCAUAUGUUGACUUACUACAUUCACAGCAAAGCAAAUGUCAGGCCUAGUAAUGGUUAAAUAAAUGAGCUUACCUACAAGUCUUCGAUAUUGUGUGACAUCUUCGAAAGGCUUGUUGUCAAGCUCCCCCUUACGAUUGGCCUUGUAGCCAUCUUCCAAGGGAGUCUUAGCCGGUUUUGCUCCAAGCUUACCUACUUGACUAAGAAGAUCAAGAGUGUACUUCCUUUGAGAUAAGAAGAGACCUUCCUUUGAUCUACAAACUUCUAUCCCAAGGAAGUACUUUAGUUCACCAAGGUCUUUUAUAUCAAAAACACUCUUAAGAAAGGUUUUAGUCUCUUGAAUCCCUACCUUGUCAUUCCCGGAGAUGAUAAUAUCAUCUACAUAAACGAGAAUGACUACUAUACCUUCCUUGGUUGGGAGGGUGAAAAGAGUGUUGUCGGCUUCCGACUUCUUGAAUCCUCUAUCCAACAAGGUUGUGCUCAGCUUGUGGUACCAAGCUCUCGGAGAUUGCUUCAAACCAUAGAUGGCUUUCUUGAGUUUAAAGACCUUCCCGGGUGCAUUAUGAUCUUCAAGACCCGGUGGUGGCUUCAUGUAGACUUCUUCUUCAAGUUCUCCUUGAAGGAAGGCAUUCUUAACAUCCAUUUGCCAAAGUUCCCACUCCAAGUUGGUAGCUAGAGAGAGAACCACUCUAACCGUAUGAAGCUUCGCAACCGGGGCAAACGUAUCCAAGUAAUCCACCCCAUACGUUUGAGUGAACCCUCUUGCAACAAGCCUAGCUUUGUAGCGUUCAAUGUCCCCAUUGCUCUUGUACUUGAUAGUGAAAACCCAUUUGGAUGUCACCGCUCUCUUGCCUUUAGGUAACUCUCCUUCCUCCCAAGUAUGGUUAUGUUCCAUAGCUUGUCUUUCAGCGGCUAUAGCGUCUCUCCAUACUUGAUGUUGGAUAGCUUCUUCAUAGGUUUGAGGAAUCCAAUGUUGAUCAAUUUGUCCAAGGAAGACUUGAUGUUCCUCGGGAAAGUGAGCAAUGGUACACACGGCUUGAAUAGGAUGAGCCACGGCUUGACAAUUGUAGUAAACCCGAGUGUUCUUCCAAUUUGAUGGAGGGAACUUCUGUCUUUGACUUCUUCUUAGGGCUAUAGGCGCUUCUUGGGAUGUAGAGCCUUCAUUAUGAUCCGAUGUAGACAAAUUCUCCUCUUCGGAUAAAGUAGUCUCUUCCUCAUGAUCACUUGGAAUCUCUUCCUCUUCAAGAUUGUCUUCUUGAAUAUUUUCUUCUUCUUGUAAAUGUUCUUCUUCCUCAUGUUGUGAUGUUUCUUGUUGUUGAGUAGGCUCCAGAUUAGGAUUUGGUGAGUUGGUGUGACUUUGAGAGUUGCUUACACCAAGUCUUUCCAAGAUAAUUCGGAGGUUGCUAGCUCUAUCCGAAGGUGAAUGGGUGAGAUCUUGAAUGUCUUCCCAAUUCUUGUCUUCAUAAUAGCCUUUGCCUUCAACAAACUUCACAUCUCUUGAGACAAGGACUUUCUUGGUUUCCGGUAUAUAGCACUUGUAUCCUUUUUGAGUGAUUGAGUACCCUAUAAACAUGCCUUUGACACUCUUAGGCUCAAGCUUAUUCCGUUGUUCACCUACAAGAACAAAGCAAACACAACCAAACACGCGUAAGUGAUUGAUAGACGGUUUAUUUUUGUUAAGUACUUCAAAGGGAGAGGAAUCUUGUAGGAUCUCUUGGUUGGUGUUCGGUUGAUCAAGUAGCAAGCUAGCACCACCGCAUCACUCCAAAAACGUUUAGGAACAUUGGUGUGAAACAUCAUGGAUCGAGCUACUUCCAUAAGAUGCCUAUUCUUCCUCUCCGCUACUCCGUUUUGUUGUGGUGUAUAAGGACAGCUUGUUUGAUGGAUUAUCCCGUGCUUGGCCAAAUGUUGCUUGAAGGCAUGACUUGUAUAUUCACCACCAUUAUCGGACCUAAAGAUUUUUAUCUUGGCAUUGUAAUGGUUAGUAACAUAGUUUUGGAAAUUAGUAAACGCUUCAAGAACUCUAUCCUUAGAAGGAAGCAAUGUUAACCAAGUAUAUUUCGACUUCUCAUCAAUGAAUGUGACAAAGUAUUUCUGAUUUUCUCUAGAUAAGCAAGGUGAAGUCCAAACAUCCGAAUGAACUAAAUCAAAACAAUUCUCAUAGAUAGUAUUAGACUUGGGAAAAAUAGAUUUGCAAUGUUUACCAAGAAUACAUGCCUCACAUUCAUCAUUCUUAAAGGAAACACUUGGUAACAAAAGGCCUAAGGCACGAGAAUGAGGAUGACCUAAUCUAGCAUGCCAAAUAGCAUUAUUCGCAUUAACAAGAAUUGAACUAAAGUGAGACGAUAGAGGAGUGGAAAGCUUGGUAUCUUCAAGAACAUAAAGACCAUCCUUUGUACCUCCAUGACCAAGCACUCUACUAGUCUCAAUAUCCUGAAAAUGAACAUCAUAAGGACCAAAGAUAGCAUAGCAAUUAAGGUCGGUAGUAGCUUUCUUAACGGAUAACAAGUUCGAAGUGAAUGUAGGCAUAUAGAAAGCUUUAGACUUUUUGCUAAACAAUUCUAAAUCUCCUACUCCUUUAACCGGAAUCUUAUCACCAUUUGCAAUUAUGACAUUUCCUAAAGCCGGUUCAAUGUUAUUCAUCAAUUUAGAGUCACUAAUCAUAUGGUGAGAGGCUCCCGAAUCAACAAUAAGAGGUUUUAAAGCACUAAGAGCAUGAUAAGCGUUACCGGAAGACUCUUUGAGAGCCUUGAUGAGUGCGUCGAGGUCGGAACGUCUCACAAGGUCGGAAGAGGCCAUCAUUGCGGCUCCAUUUCCUCCCAAGGCUUGACUUAAUGUUCCGGCUUGCUCUUGGCCUCCAAGGUUCCCUCCGGUAGCUUGAUUUGCUCUUGGCUCUCUUCGUGCUGGCUUUAGGUGAGGGUGAAGAAUCCAGCACUUCUCUUUGGCAUGUCCACUCCGUUUGCAAUGAUCACACCAUGGAGCUUUCCCGCGGUUGGCGUUGAAGUUCCCACGGUUGGCGGAUGCGAGCUCACUUGAGUUGCCCGAGACAAGCUCCCCUUUGCUACCACACAACCCGAGAGAUCCUUGCUCUUUUUGGAUUUGAGAACACACUUCUUCAAGGUUUUGGAGCUUGUCGGUACGGAGGAGAUGCUUGAUGAGGUCGUUGUACGCCGGACUCAAGGUAAAGAGUAGACCAAAGACCUUGUCUUGCUCACGCCUUUCGUUGAUGACCGCCGGAUCAAGAGUGUUGGGUCUCAACAUCUCAAGCUCUGCCCAAAGAGAUCGAAACUUCCCAAAGUGUUGAGUGAACUCCAUGUCUCCUUGGGUCAGCUCGUUGAUGGCUUUCUUGAUCUCAAAAACACGGCUUAGGUUGGAUUGGUUUCCAAAGACAUUUUGCAAAGUUUCCCAAAGAUCCUUGGGAGUCUCACAAUAGGAGUAACCUUCAAGGAUUGAUGCUUCAAGAGAGUUUUGGAGAACGGAUAAGACCAUUUGGUCUUCUUGGAACCACUUGUCUUCAUCAACAAGGGCGAUCUCCAAGCCAUCUUCGUUCGUGGUUGUCUCUCUUGGCGCUUCACUCUUGAUGAUGUGAGGCCAGAAUCCACGACCGCACAAGAUGGUCUUCAUGGUUCUUGCCCAAAGCAAGUAGUUUCCUCCUUUGAGGGUGACUGGAGCAUGAAUCUUGGUGUUCUCCAUGGUGAGAAGAAUCGAAAAGAGAAUGAAGAUUGGAGAAGAAGAAGAUUUGCAAGAAGAAUCGAGUAUGUGGAGCUUUAUGGCUCUGAUACCAUGUAAGAAUGUGGAGAUUAGGUUGCGAGAAUGGGACUGAGAAUAAGCGGAAAUGGAGAUUUGAGAGAUUAGAGAGAAAGAGAUUUGAAGAUGAGAAAGAGAGAGAUUAUCUCUUCGUACUUAAUUUGGUAAUUACAUAGGUUCCCUUUUAAAGGGGAUACAAAAGGAAUAUCCCAAAGGAUAUGCUAAAGAAUAUGCUACUUUAAGGAGCCAUUAAAACGGUCAAAUGGUCAAAAGCAAGUCAUAAAGCAACUCUUGUCUUCUUCCUCCAUUUGAAUGUGCAACGGCUACAAGAAGACUCGGGAAGGGUCCGGAGGCUUCUAGAAGCGUCUUGGAGAGGAUCCAAGGCUAAAUGGCCGAGAGAAAACAUCGCGGGCCGAGAGAAAACUCCAAACGUACGGACGGACUAAAAGCUGGCCGUACUGGCGAUUAUCUUAAAUCGGUUGUGCAACCGAUCGUCAUAACCGAUCGAUAGUUAAAUGAUGCUUCGAUCGUUUGUGCAACCGAUUGACACAACCAAGCGGCAAAACCUUUUCUUACCUGAUUGGUUGUGCAACCGAUCAGCAAGACCGAUUGGAAGACAAGUUUCCCGUUUCUUCACUUCAUUCAAUAGUCGAGUGCCAGGUCGAGUACCAAACAGAAACUGCAACAAAUGUACUCGACUGCACAGUCCGUUUCCAAACCGCUGGGUGUGGUCGAGUACUUCAAGUGAAAUAAGUAAAAAUGCGAAAACUAAGCAACAAGUAACGAGAUCAAGCAAUCAAUAGCGAUGUGAACAAAGAAAUCAAUUGGAAGAGAAAUUCCCGAGGAUGGGGUAAUCGAGUAGUGAAGUCUCCUUAAUCUAACAGGUGGUUAACAUGCUCAACAAACUAUCCCUAGACAACAAGUUCAAUAACCAAAUCAAAGUGCUACCGCAACAGAGAUCCUCAAGCAAAGCUAGUCCCAGACUCAAUCACCAUUGACGAGAGCUAACCUAACAGGCAUUACGAAUCAACAAGUUAAAGCCAAAACGCUCCCUGUAAGCAAUACCUUGGUACAGAGCCACUAAUCUCUGGAAUUAGUGGUUUUAAACGGAAAAACACUACUUUAUCUUUUGGGCUUCGCUUGCGGUUCUAGUUCUUAUACCCAAUCAUAAACACGAGAUCUAGUCAUAUUUGACUCCAAAAACACUAGCCAAGCUUCUUAUAGCUUUUCAAAUCUUUGUGGGUGUGGCCGAAGUCCUAUGAAUUUUCUGUGUUGGAGCUUCUAAAUGGAAAAACACUACUUUAGCUUUUGGGAUCCGGUUGCGGUUCUAGUUCUUAUACCCAAUCAUAAACACGAGAUCUAGUCAUAUUUGACUCCAAAAACACUAACCAAGCUUCUUAUUGCUUCUCAAAUCUUUGAGGGUACGGCCGAAGUCCUAUGAGUUUUCGAUUUUGGAGCUUCUAAGCGGAAAAACACUAUUUUAACUUUUGGGAGCCGGUUGCAGCUCUAGUUCUUAAACCUAAUCAUAAACACGAGAUCUAGUCAUAUUUGACUCCAAAAACACUAACCAAGCUUCUUAUUACUUCUCAAAUCUUUGUGGCUGUGGCCAAAGUCUUAUGAGUUUUCGGUUUUGGAGCUUCUAAACGGAAAAACACUACUUUAGCUUUUGGGCUGCGGUUGCGGUUCUAGUUCUUAUUGAUAUAUAUUGGAACCAAUCUAACUUAUGAUCACUCAAUGAUCAAGAGAUUCCAAGCUUAACUUGCGGAAGGUGGAAUUCACGAGCUGGCUACAACGCACUCUCUCGUGAAUCAAGGGAUGGAACGAUGGAUAGAUGCGAUUGACGCACUCAAUCAAUGAACAAACCAGAAGUUUGAAUCACUCAAACAACUUGAUUUGCAGACUCAAAAGAACUUAAUUGACUCACUCAAAUAAGAACUAAUGAAAGGAAACACAAAGAAUUCGCAACUUUGUGGAAGAAAAGAAAACAAUGUUUCUUAUGAACUUUAAAAUCUCGAUUAAGGGUGUUUUUACAAUGAGGAAUGAGCUGAGGUUUUAUAGGCUCGUAAUACAAUGUCUAAAACAAGUAGCAAAUCGCAAAAUUAAAUGAGAAACUAGCCGUUGGAAAUGAAAUGGCAAAAUCCGUCGAAAUAAGGAAAGUAGCCGUUAGCUUGUAUCUUGAAAGCUUGGGGAGAAAGUGGUGCGUCCUGGGAAGUCUCUUGUUCACUAGGAGGGUCUCUAAAUCGCACUCAAACAGAUGGGGAAAUAUUUCUUGCUGGUUGAUCUCCUUUGGCUUCAAACAAGGCAAAUAAGGCAAGAUCGGUUCCGGAUAUGGAAAGUGAAGGUGUGUGAGGAUCCGCCUGAUCCUAUGUGUCUUGGUGCACCUUAGAGUGUUGUAGGGAGCUUCUAGCAGUAUCUUAAAGUCUCCUGGGCGCCAAUGUCUGGUUUGCAAGUAACUAAACCGGUCAGCUUCCAAAUAAGGCAAGCUGAGAAUCAUCUGGUUUAGAAAAUUAAUAUCUUCUAAACCAAAAUUGUUUUUGACUUGAUUCCAAUUUGACGAGCUCCUCUGAUGAGUCAAGAAUGUAGGAAAAUUCACUUCGUAGCUUAAAUCCUUCUUCUCUGGUCGGAAUCCUCCAAUACG